rnacentral:lncRNA from 1 species
UAAGUUUCUAGCUCGCUACCCCUCUCUCUCUCUCUUCUCCUCCGGCCUCGGACGCGUGUGUUCCCCUUUUGGGCCGAUCUGCGGGUUUGGUGUGGUGGUUCGACCAAUCGAUCUGGUAUAAAUGGGGCGUGUGAGGUAGGGGAUGAAUUCGUUAGAUCCUGAUGCAGUGUUGAGGUGCUGAGGUGUUCGGAUUUGGGAGCUUUGAGGCAGUGCUUUGGUCUGAUUAAUGUGCUGAAUUGAUGAUCAUGUUCUUGUUAUGUUGUCCCAUGGAUCGCUAGAAUUUUGAUGCUAGCCUUUCUUAUGUUGUUCGUCUGGAUUAGGUAUAUUAAUCAAGUAGAAAUUUAUGUGAGUAUUUAUUGCUAUUGGACAUAUUAGGCAUGUUGGAUUUUUUUUUUCUUGAUGGGAUGAACGUCCUUGGGCUUUGGAGUGUUUAUUCCUUGGAUUAUAUGGAGUCUUACUGUCUUAGGGAACUGAUGAGAUGUCUGUUAGCCAAGGUUUUGGUUUGCUUCAUUUUAAAUGUUUCAAGGUUGCAUGGAAACGGAGAGCUUGCAUGUACUUUCAACAUAAAUGGCAUGUAUAGCUUGUUGCCACCGGUACACUAACAUACAAGGAUCUUGUCGCUUGGUUCCGCUACACUGCUGCCGUGUUGGUUUUGGUAAUCGUACAUGUCAAGCAUUCUUAAACUUGAGGUCAUCAUGACUAUGGUUGUCUAUGUGUAUUCAUUGCAUGCUCAUGAUGUGUAUUGAUCUGAAAUCUGUAUGCAAUACAACAUGUCGGACAAACAGGGCACCAUUCAGUUAAGGAUUAGACAAUUUGUACGGAAUGCCUUUUCAGAUAAGCAGUUGAAUGAUAUGCCUUUUUUCUAUCACAAUUACUUUUUCCUGUAUUGUGUUUAUUUGUUUCUUCUAUUUGUAGUUGAAUUGAUUUUGUUGUCGCUUGCUGCAGACCGUGGUUACUAUUCAGUGGAGACUGUUACAUUACUAGUGGCUCUUAAAGUCCGUUAUAGAGACAGAAUCACAAUAUUGAGAGGAAAUCACGAGAGCAGACAAAUCACCCAAGUGUGAGUUUCUAUUCCUCUGAUAUGAAAAAAACUCUGAACUGUCUUCAAUAGUUGCCAAUUGCCAAUUUUCAGCACAGUAUCUCUAUAUUGCAAUUUUUUGCAAAACAUAUAUGACCAUGCUGCAAAUCUUACCAAAUGAUUAUGCUUGAAAUUGAUCUUUUCUGCCUCCUUAGACAAAGAAUAUAUUUUUGUUGGGCAUGAAUUAGAGUAACAGUUUUUUUUUUCUGUUGGAAGAUCACGAUUACAUUGUCUCGAUAUCUUUUGGUUUGUGCGCUUUUUUAUUUGCAAUACUAGUUAACAUGCAAGAAAAACAUUGUGACCUUAGUAGCUUUAACUUCCUUGAUUAGUUGUAUUCAAAAGCUUGUCUUAUAUAAAUACAUUGUUUUGAUAUUGAGCAUAGCAAUAUCCUUGCAAAGGUGAACUAGCAUAUUAGUUGAACUAGAUUCUGUGGCCACAUAAUAUCUGUAAGAUGCAAAUUCUGGCACAGGCAUUAUUAUAUUUGGUUAUUCAAUUGUUUCCUUGGUACCCCAUGGCCUAUCCCCUGGGUAUUUUGUUAGUCAACUUGUUCGAUUUUAGAAUCAGGAGGAUUGCAUCCUGUUUCUAGUUUUCAUAGAUGAUACUCCACUUCCAUAUGGUUGAAUACCCUCUAAUAGGGGUAACAUAAUGGCUGUAUGGUGUCAUGCCAAACGUCAGAAAUCCUAUAAGCUGAAUAAGGAAUCUGUCUCUUGUCUUGGUAUGGAAAUUCAUGCCAUGUAAUUCAACACUCUAUUCUCAGUCUACAUCUUAUUAGAUAUGGAAUUGUGGAUUGAGUUAAAAUAGUAAUCUGGAGUUGAUUAUAAAGAGGAAUUCAAACAUUGAUGAAUUGUUAAAAUUAUGCAGUGGCAGAGUCACGGAUCGCCUAUUUUAGUGGUUAUGUGUGCAGAUGACUAUGAAAACGUUAUACUUUGUAGGAGCCUGACAACCCUCAACAGCAAAAACUUUUAGAAAGACUUACAAAGUUAAAAUAAUUUCUUGCAACGUAACACCCGUAAAAAACAACCUGGUUGCUUAUUAUGCAGGCAGUCUAUUUAAACAACGAUUUGCAUUUCAACAGAUAUAUCAAUGACAAUAAACAAUCAUUUAAGAAACAAAUUCCUUGUUCUUAAAAGGCAUGGAAAGUAAUCACCAAUUGCUGGCUUAUUUGGUUGACUCGGGCUCCAGGCUACGACACCAACUGAACUCUGAAUAUUCCAUUUCAUGGAGAAAACAACAAAAGGUGAUUUGUUAUCUGAACUGGUGAUCCAAAAUGGCCAAAGGCAUCCCUGCUAACCACUCUUGAUUAAGAGGUCAUGGAACAAAACACAUUUAUUUUUCUUGGACUCAGCACGGUAUCUGGUACUGUAGUUUUUAGCUAGCAUGAUAUCAUAAGAAUUAGAUCAUGUAAUGUUGAUGUCGCUUUAUAAAUCAUAAAGUUUGGUAAAUUACAUGACUUUUUUUGGUUAGAAACCUAAAGAAAGAAAUAAUGCAAAUUAGCAAUAAAGAUCAUCAAUUUAUAUUUUGAAAUAAUUAGCUGCGUAAGUAUGUUUUGGGACUUUGUAAGUUGGGUUAUGCGUUGCAUGAGAUUUGAGUUGCAGAGUUAUUUAGAAAUAAUUUACAAGGGCUCCCAGCUUCUGACUCCCUAAUCUGAUCUAACAACCCCACAUAGAAGUUUAGGUAUUGGCAGCCAAUGAUCUACUGGAGGUUUAAGCCAAAUUCCUAGAAUAUGAUGAAUAGAUCUCAACUUUAUGCUGACUUGCUGCCAUGAACUUUCUUAAAGUAAAAAAGUUAUGAUUGCUCUGGGUCUGAAGAUUGAUGUAGCAAGAAUCCUACUUUAUAAUGUUCUUGUCAUGACAUGAACUUUUGCCAAUUUCUUCUGCUGCAUUCUACUUUGUAAAAUGCAAGCACACCCACUGUGCUAGGGUGUUCUUGACAUGCAGUGUUUGGAUACAGGUAUGGCUUCUAUGACGAAUGCUUACGGAAGUAUGGAAAUGCAAAUGUUUGGAAGUACUUCACGGACUUGUUUGAUUAUUUGCCUCUCACAGCUCUUGUAGAAAACCAGGUUAGCUCUUUUUGCCAAAUGUUUGUUCUAUUAAUAUGGACAUUGAACUCAGCUUGUCCAUGUAUAUGGCAUACCUGACAAGAGGAAAAAUUUCAUUUUGUAGGUCUUUUGCCUCCAUGGCGGUCUCUCGCCGUCAUUGGAUACAUUGGAUAACAUUCGUGCCCUCGAUCGCAUACAGGAGGUAUGCAACACUUCACCCAUACCUUUGAGCUAGUGAUCUAAUUAUGCAUCAUUUUGCACCAUCGUCUUUACUUGCCAUGUCUCCAUAGUCCAUAGGCACCCUCCUUUUGAACUGGAGGUAAUGCUCAUUCAUGAUAGCUUGAGAACAGGUCCAGGAGUGUUAAAUAAUUGAACCUAUAUUAGAGGAUAGCAUAUACCAUUCUUUGCCAUUGGAUGAUUCGGUGUGCUCUAAUAAUUUAUCUGCAUCGUUUCACGUGCAUGGCUCGAAUGGCAUUCUUCUCAUAUAUGUUGAUCUCACACAAUAACUUUAUAUUAAUAUACAUAAAAUGUUCUGGGUGAGGAUCAAAUGAUAUACAAAGGUUGAUAUACCCCCUCCAGGUUGAUAAUACUUGUAGUUUUGGACGAGUACAUGGUCUCGAAAAAACAACUUUGACCACUAUUUUCUAUUAUAAUAUAUAUAGAAAUAUCAACAAAUAUAUGAUUCUAUUGAAGUACUUUUUAAGACUAAUCUAUACAUAUGGUCUGCAUAUUUCUGAGACAGAUAUUUUGGAAAUUAUUCAUAGUCAGAUUUUAAAGUUUGACAUCAGCCUUGUCUAGAACGACAACUAUUAUCAACCUGGAGGGAGUAAUAGGUUCCAGUUACGCGAUUUUCUGAUGUACCAUAGUGUGUUCUUUUUUACAAGAUGCAAUGGGAUAUGGGAGAAGAGCUCAGAAAUUAAACAAACUAAAAGAUCAAUAUUCCUGUACAAUUUGCUUAAGUAGUUACAGAUAUUUCUUACUUUAUUGUUGGCCAAGCAUUUGGUAAGACUAAACAGGACCUCACUCGCCAUGACCAUUCACAAAUAAUAUUAUGCUUGCUGGUUUAGUGUUAGUACCUGCUAUGCCUAUAUAUCAAAUUUGUUGGUUCGUGCCAUUGUUCGUACAUAGCUUAAACUAGUAACUAAAGGUGGCCCUCAUUGAGCAAUUGUGCGUAAUAGUGACCGUCUUUGUGUAGAACAUAUGUGCUGUAUUUGCACACUUUUUUGUCUUGAUAAUUUAUAGUUUAUGGAAAUCAUAUGUUUUGACUUAUGCACCCUGUUCUCUUUAAUGGUUAUAGGUCCCUCAUGAAGGGCCCAUGUGUGAUCUUUUGUGGUCUGACCCGGACGAUCGAUGUGGGUGGGGAAUUUCUCCAAGAGGGGCAGGAUACACGUUUGGGCAAGAUAUUGCACAACAAUUCAACCAUACUAAUGGCCUUACCCUUAUUUCAAGGGCCCAUCAACUUGUGAUGGAAGGCUUCAAUUGGUGCCAGGUUGGUAUAAAAUGUUCCAUUUGCUUGUUUUCAUUCGUCCCACUCUGAGAGCCCUGUUCACAUAAUUAUUAUUGGUCUUACUAUGUUAGGCUAAUCCAUUUUGGUAUUCAUAAUAAUUUCUGGUGCUUUAGCUAAGUUAUAGACUCAUAGUUGCAUGCUGAUGCUGAUUGCUGAAUCUAGUAAUCAUUAUGAUGUUAUGGUACCUGAACUUCGCAUUAUAUAAGUUUUAGUAGCUUGUUCAACCCUUCAGUGAUCUGUUAAACAAUGACAACCCCUUCGGCCCUUCCCCCACAUAGUUUAUGCUGUAUAGUGAUUGCUGAUUAUUAUCUAGGAGGCAUAACAUAUUUACAAUCUAUGGCGGACAUAAAGAAUGCAACGCUUGAUACAGUUCUAUAAGAUGAGCAGAACUUUUCUUGGUUUGGAUGUAUGGUAUGUGGUUUGUUGUUGAUCCUAGUAUUAUUACUAUAUGUUUGGUUUUCAUGUAUCAUCACAUAGGAGCAUGUACAUAGAACCUUACCUUACCAUCAGUGACCUGCACUUGAGCACCAAAUUGGAAAAUUCUAACAAAAAGCUUGAUACUUAAUGACAAUGAUUGUUAUGCAGGACAAGAACGUUGUCACGGUGUUCAGCGCCCCAAACUACUGUUACCGCUGUGGUAACAUGGCAGCAAUUCUAGAAAUCGGGGAGAACAUGGAUCAGAACUUCCUACAGUUCGAUCCAGCCCCACGACAAAUAGAGCCGGACACAACGCGCAAGACCCCCGACUACUUUUUGUAAUCGUGGCGUUGAUCUUUUUUUUUUUAACUCCCGCUGUUGAUGUUCCUCUCUGCUGCGUCUGGUUUUAUGUAGAUCUUCGUCCUUAGAAAAUGGGUUCCCUCCUCGAGCCAAGCUGUACCCCCCAUUCUUUGUUUGGAAAUUUUGUUGCAGCUCCUCAACUUCCAUAGAACAUGUUAAAACGUACAUGGCGUUGUUUUUUCCUUUUUCCUUUUUUAUGUACCUCCCAUUUUGUAUUAUUCUGAGACAGGAGAGAUGGGAAGCUGCAAUAGAGUUGUCUCGUGACAUAAAUUUUUGGUCUCCCGAAAAGAUGCAUGGCCUGGUGGUGUAUAUGCGCUGUAUAUGGGAAGCUGCUGUUGGAAGUUCAUGAUUAAGGAAUAAAUCCCAGUGUCGUUUGUGUGGAUCUACUGCUGCGGCAUUUCAGUGGGGGCACCCGACAGGAGUUAGGCGAAUACGGAUGAGGAUUAGGUACAUUAUUACAAGGAAUUAUCCAGCUGGCUUACCAUUCGCAUCUUUGAACUCCACCCCCCAAAAAUAUGUUUGGUGGCUGACCGAUGACCUGGCGUGUUGACCUGCUGAGAACACUGCACUCCCUCUCCCGCUGAAUCGACGAGUCACAGGGGAUCCUCUCAGCAGCAGCUCUGGACCUCUGGGUACUUCUUAAAAAAUUCUGUUCUGUGAAAUUUAUUUUUAAAAUAUUUAAUUUAUCCUUGUAAUAAUAAAAUAUAUAAUCCGCGAUAAUGAUUCGGUGAAUAAUUUGUUUAAAACGCUAGUACAAUAACAAACGCUCGUUCCCCUAACAUCUAAUUACACAGUAUAUUACACUCCAGUUAGAAAUAUUUAAACACUGACCAUAAAUUUAAAAUAAGUUCAUAAAAUCUACUUCCUCUGUUCCAGAAUAUAAUAAUUUUUAGUGUUUAGAAUUUAUCUUAAAAUAUAACAACUUUUUCGCCAAUAUUCUCUUCCUAAUCAAUCACAACUCUCAACCAUUCAAUUUUUUUUACCUACAUUCACUUCUCAUCCAAUUAUACAUUUCCCACAUUUAAUUCUAUAUACUUUCUUAAUAACUGUGUCCAUAAAAAAGAACUUAUAUUUUACGACGGAGGGAGUAAAUAAAUAUUUAUGAUUGGGGUUUACUCCCUCCGUCCAAAAAAAACCCAAUUCUAGAGAUAAAUCUGGACACUUAGAAUUGGACUUUUUUUUUUUGGGACGAAGGGUGUAAGUAACAACACCAGUCUCUCUUGCACAUAUUGCAUCACCACAAAAAAUAACUAAAUAUUUUCCCCCAUUGAUUUAGUGCUCUAUGAAGCACAAGUGGUUCCAAUAAUCAACUGAUCAUCCGACAGUAACACGACCCACACCCUGACUUUAAGCAAAACAUAUGCAUACUUGUUCAAUGGCUGCAUCUUCCACCAGGGGCGAAGCCAGGAUAAAUGGUCGACGGGGUCAAUACUAAUUUAGUGUAUGAUACAUUGUUAGAUCUUCUAAAAUAGCGGGGGGGUUUUUUUUUCAAGAAUCGCUCCAUAAUACUUUGCUUGCCUAUUUAUCUCUACUACAUAAAAACAGAAUUUAUCAUCCACCCUGAAAGAAAAAAUACGGGGAAAAACCAGACCCAACAGAAAACUAAAUAACGGGGAAAGUAAUUUCAUCCCUCGAGGGGAUAUCCCUCGUUUCGUUCAUCUCAUCUAAAUAGCUAGAUUAAUACGAAAUAUAUCACUCCACAAAUAUGCAAGUUAAAAUUUAACUUCUACAAAUUGAAACAAAAAUAACAAAUAUAAAUGCGAAUGUACGAUAACUAUUUUCAGUUUAUUUUUUUAUUGUAACUUGUAGAAGUCAAAUUUGAUUUUGCAUGUUUGUAGAGUGAUAUAUUCCUUAUCAACCUAUGUUGUCAAUUUUUUUAUAACUAUUUAGAUGACAUGCAAACAAUGAGGGGAUAUCCCCUCGAGGGAUGAAAAUCCAUAUCCUAAAUAAUGCUACGAGCAACCAUUGGCCCAUAGGAGAUUGUUGCAACGCACGGACAUGUCUAUAAAUUAUACUACCUCCGUUUCAGGGUAUAAGACUUUCUAGCAUUGCCCAUAUUCAUAUAGAUAUUAAUGAAUCUACAUAUUAUGUAUAGAUUCAUUAAUAUCUAUAUAAAUGUGAUCAAUUCUAGAAAGUCUUAUAACCUGAAACGGAGGAAGUAUUAAAAACCGGACAUAAUUAAUAUGUAAACAAAGUAGACAUUAAAUGCACAAAUACUCACUGCUAAGAUUACCAAAAUGUAUAUUGGGCCUUUGGGCUGACGUAUAAUCAUUAGCGCUAGCUAAUUCCUAUUUGUUGCUUGCUAAUCUCAAACGUGUCGUUUCAAGUUGCUAAUUAAUCAGGCUAUAACAAAUCAUGGUUACCGGGGUCUAGUGUUUUUAUCGACCGGGGUCAUACACGGUAAAAUUAAGUGGAGUAAGAAACGUACACAAGAAAUCGUCGGGGUCAGUGGACCCCGAUAGAUGGCUAUAGCUUCGCCCCUGUCUUCCACUAAAGUUCAAACCUGCAGUUCCAAGAUGCUCACUCCAUUAGCGGCCACUAGCCAGUGGCUUCUUAAUAACUCUUGAAAGAUCAACUCCAAAGCUGCAGCUCCACCAAAAAUGGUUGCAAGCUCUGCCUCUCUGCUCCUCUUCACUCUGAUCCACCCACUUUUGUGCAUCUCAGCUCAAGAUUUCCUCAAGCCAGGCUCCUCCCUGUCUGUACAGGAUGUGCUCCAUUCACCGGAUGGCACUUUCACCUGUGGCUUCUACAAAAUCUCCCCCAAUGCCUCCACCUUCUCUAUCUGGUUCUCCAACUUGACCGAAAACCCCGUCGUCUGGAGCGCAAAUCCUCUCCACCCUGUGUACACCUGGGGAUCCAAAGUUGAGUUGAAAUUCGAUGGUGGCAUGUUUUUGAAAGAUUAUGCUGGCCAGAUUGUGUGGGCUAACAACGUUAGCUCUUCAGAUACCCAGUAUGCUCAAGCUCAGCUCUUGGACACCGGGAACCUCGUUGUGAAGGGCGAAAGUGGUAACACUCUGUGGCAAAGCUUUGAUUCUCCUACUGAUACAUUGUUACCCACUCAGAGCAUCACUGCUGCUACAAAGCUUGUGUCUACAAAUAGGUUACUUGUUCCUGGCCAUUACAGUUUCCGUUUCGAUGAUCAGUACUUACUUUCACUGUUUGAUGAUGAGAAGAACAUAUCUUUUAUCUACUGGCCAAACCCUAGUAUGACUAUUUGGGCAAAGCUAAGAAGUCCAUUCAACAGCACCACAAAUGGGGUUCUUGACAGCUGGGGACAUUUCCUUGGAAGUGAUAAUGCAACAUUCAUAGCUGCUGAUUGGGGUCCUGGCACAGUGAGGAGACUAACACUGGAUUAUGAUGGCAAUCUCAGGCUGUACAGUCUUGAUAAGGUAGACAGAACAUGGUCAGUGACAUGGAUGGCAUUUCCUCAGCUCUGCAAAGUACGCGGUUUGUGCGGUCAGAAUGGAAUAUGUGUGUAUACACCUGUUCCUGCCUGUGCUUGUGCCCCUGGUUACGAGAUCAUCGACCCAAGUGACCGGAGCAAAGGUUGCAGCCCAAAGGUCAACCUCAGUUGUGAUGGACAGAAGGUGAAAUUUGUUGCACUCCGCAAUACUGAUUUCUUGGGGUAUGAUCUGAGUGUUUAUCGUUUUGUUCCUCUUGGAUUCUGCAAGAACAUAUGCUUGAAAGACUGCAGGUGUAAGGGUUUCGCCUACUGGGAAGGAACUGGUGAUUGCUAUCCAAAGUCUGUUCUUCUUGGUGGUGUAACACUAAGUAACUUUGGCAGCACUGGUACCAUGUAUCUCAAGCUUCCUGAGGGAGUAAAUGUGUCAAGGUCCUCAUUUCCCCAUUCACAGCCUCUUGGUCCUAAAUAUGGCCCUAACUGUAAUACAACAAACAACAUUUCCAUAGCAGAUUUUUUGGAUACACUUAAUAGUGGGCAGAGCAUAUCAAAGUUUUUGUAUUUCUACGGGUUCUUAUCAGCGAUAUUUCUGGCGGAGGUAUUAUUUGUUUUAUUAGGAUGGUUUAUUUUGAGGAGGGAGGCCAAACAACUCAGAGGAGUAUGGCCAGCUGAGGCCGGAUAUGAAAUGAUAGCUAACCAUUUUCGCAGGUACACCUACAGAGAGUUGGUGUUGGCCACUAGAAAAUUUAAGGAUGAGCUUGGAAGGGGAGCAUCAGGCGUCGUAUACAAGGGAGUCUUGAAAGACAAUAGGGUAGUGGCCGUGAAAAAGUUGGUAGACGUAAACGAAGGUGAAGAAGAAUUCCAGCAUGAAUUGAGUGUGAUUAGCAGGAUUUACCAUACAAAUCUAGUGAGGGUUUGGGGAUUCUGUUCUGACGGUCCACACAGGAUAUUGGUUUCAGAAUUUGUGGAGAAUGGUUCGUUGGACAAAAUCUUGUUUGGCAGUGGGGGCUCACAGAACUUACUUGGAUGGACACAAAGAUUCAAUAUUGCUCUUGGGGUGGCAAAAGGAUUGGCAUAUCUUCAUCAUGAAUGUUCUGAGUGGGUCAUCCACUGCGACAUGAAACCUGAAAAUAUAUUGUUGGGCGAGAAUAUGGAGCCGAAGAUCGCCGACUUUGGCCUUGCAAAGCUCCUGAACAGAGAUGGAUCUAACAUAGACAUAUCACGGAUCCGAGGAACAAGAGGUUAUUUGGCACCUGAAUGGGUUUACAGUCUGCCAAUAACAGCGAAGGUAGAUGUGUACAGCUUCGGAGUCGUGCUCCUCGAAUUGCUGAAGGGAGCUCGUGUUUCAGAAUUGGAAAAGAAUGAUGAUGAGGACGUGAAAAUGGCCCUGGGAAGGGUAAUCAGGCUAUGCUCAGAGCAACUUAAGUCAGAUGGCGACGAUCAGUUUUGGAUUGCCGACUUCAUUGACACCCGAUUGAAUGGCCAAUUCAACAGCGCACAAGCAAGAAUGAUGAUGGAAUUGGCUGUUUCAUGCCUUGAAGAAGAUAGAGUCAGAAGACCUACCAUGGAAUGUGUGGUGCAGAAACUUGUAUCAGUUGAUGAAGUCAGUAGCACACCAACAGGAGGAAGUGAGGAACCACAUUCAACCAGAACUUCAUCACUAAUAAGUUAUUAAAGUCUAUGCAAGAAGAGGGUCCAGAUAUAGAAGAAGUAAUAUUUGUGCAAUAGCUAACUACUACUGUAACUAGUAAUAUUUACACAAUAAUCAUGCUAUAUCUGUUGUAAAAACUCCAGCAAUAACUGGAAGGCUGGAAAGUGUGCCCCAGAACAAGGGAAUGUCGGUGACAUGUUCAUAGACAUGCCUCUUUCAGUGAAAAGUGUAAUGCUGAUAUUGAGAGAUAAUUUUAUAAUUACUUGUUUUACAUGUAUUAAAUUUUCACCUAUUUCACUUAUUUCUACGGGCAGAUUUAAGACCAGCUUCUGUGCUACAUAACUAAUAGACGCAACACCACCACAAAUUGAAUGUCCAAAGCAGUUCUGGGCUCAAUCGUGUAAUAGGACAGAGAGGAGAAAUUGUCCAUCCCAAACACAUGGAUGAACCAAACCAACAUUUUAACAAGAUAAUAAGUACUACAAUCCCUCGAUAUCUUGGAAAGAAAAUGCCCAAUACUACUUGUCUACGUCUACAGCAACCUUGACUGACGCAGCAACUAAUAUACAGUACGUCCACACGGUGGCUGUGUGCAAUAAAAUGAACAAUAAUAGAUCAUGUACUACUAGUAGCAUUUCCCAGAUCGGACGAUUAUCACCCAAAACACUUGGCAAUAUAGAUUGUUCAGUUGGAAGAACAGAAGCGGUAGCGCGAAGUAGCCACUUUUCCCCAUCCUCUACUACGGGACUUACCUGUCGAGUGGCGGACGUGGAGGCGGGCGGAGCAUCGGUUUUGGGCGGUGAAGCUGCGGAUCGGGUGGUCUCCGGACGCCGCCCUUGCGCCGCGCGCGGCCGCGACCGGACCACAAGGGCGUGCGAGCUGCUGCAUCUGCUGAAGGUGGGCCGCCGCCGGCCGCGGAACAAAGACACCUAAAGCUAAUUAACACCUACUAUAAUAAAUCAUUUCUUUGCUGUCGCUAUUAUACAUAGGUGUCCCUAUGUAUCCAUAUGUAAUUAUAAAACAUGAAAGUUUAUUUGUAAAGGAUAAAACGUUUCAAAAAAAAAGAGCAUAUAACUUGCCUUGCUGGCCUCCUGGGACUUCUGCGAUAUUCUCGUACAAAGGCCCUCUCUAGUUCAUGGGUAAAAAGUUUAAUUUUUUUUUCAAAAUAUACUGUUUAUUUAUUUUUUUUCUAAAAAAAUUCGGGGUACAAGUUUAUUAACAGAAAUAUAUAUCGAUCUCGCACAACCGUUGUACGAGAGCACGGUCUCGCAUAAUGAAACAGCGAAACGGAACAAUGAAGUAACGAUACCGAACAGUAUCGCACAAAGAAACAGUGCUACCGAAUGUCUUGUACAAAAUUAAUGAUUAAUUACUAUAAUUAAUUAUUAUUUAAUGAUAAUUGAUGAUUAAUUAGUUGCUAAUCAAUGUGAUUAAGACAUUAAUCAUUGGGUGUGGCAGCUAAUGCCGUGCGGUCUCGUACAUUGACUGUGCGAGGCCGUACGCUCUCGCGACACCCCUCGCGAAACCGUGUCGUGUCAUCACCCUACGUCAUUCUCGUGCAGUAGUUAUACGAUACCGUAUCGUUUUCUCACUCUAAACUAGCGAGGACGGUAUAUUUGUAAAAAAGAAAAAUUUGUAUCCCGAAUAUUUUGAGGAAAAAAUAAAUAAACAAUAUAUUUUCAAAUUUAAUUUUGACAUGUCAGUCGGAUAUACGGACACAUAUUUGAAGUAUUAAACAUAGACUAAUAACAAAACAAAUUAUAGAUUCCGCCUGUAAACUUCGAGACGAAUUUAUUAAGCCUAAUUAAUCGGUCAUUAGCGAAUGUUUACUAUAGCACUAUAUUGUCAAAUCAUGGAGCAAUUAGGUUUAAAAGAUUCGUCUCGCAAUUUACACACAAUCUGUGUAAUUAGUUCUUUUUGUCUAUAUUUAAUACUCAAUGCAUGUGUCGAAACAUUCGAUAUGGCAGGGUGAAAAGUUUUUGAGUAGAAACUAAACAUGGCCUAAAUGGGAGCGUUGGAAGCGAGAAACAAAGCAAAAACGCAAACGAAAUUGCUAAAAACUUUCGUAAAUUUUUUCUUUUUGCUCAAUGAACAUUCAAAUUUGUAGCCAUUUGAUUGCCUUGAGAUUUGUGCAUGAAGGAAAAAAAUUGCUAGAAAGAAAUUUCCACACAUGUCAUGUAUAAUAUUCCGCUGCUAACCAACAAAACCAUAAUUGAAUACAAGUUUUAUAUAAGCUAUACCGUAGUUACAGUGUAAUUACAGUAUAAUUACAUUUCAAUUAUAUUAUAGUUAUUUCUAGAAGUUUUUUCACUUUAGAUACUCCCAUAGGCAAAAUAGUACAUAAGACAACAUAAAACAAUACAUCUAACAUUUGUAAUGAUUUCUUUAAAAUUUUAGAGCAAAUGUGCAUGUUGAAUGUUCAAUACCUAGUUAAAAUGAAUUAGUUAUAAAUCUUAGAAAUUUUAACCAUUGUAAUCAUUUGUAGAAGUUAUAAACUGAUAUAUGACGCAUUAUAACAAGAUUACUAUGUCAGUAGUGGGGAACCUGGCGUCAACAGGCGGGCCUCACGGUCAGCGAGGAAGGGAGGCCAGCUCUCGUGGACCAAAUCCGCCGAGGUGGUCCACGAGAGGUCAAUGACCGGGAUUUGCCAGCACAUAUCGAAGCCCGGGAUCACUGGUGCACGGUCAUGUGUCCUUGCCAUGCGACAGUGCACAUGGCGGGCAUGGUAGUCAGGUGCAUUGAGGUGGUGUCACCACGGCACUGACAUAGGCAGCCACAGAUGAUCCACGAGGAUGACAGAUUGGACGGACGGGGCGAGGAGGGGUCGGCUUGCCAGACAACCGGAUGUGUGACUUGAUGGUUGCCGGUAGCGACCAUACGACGUGGCGAUGGGAGUGGAAAAAAAGGAAGCAUAAUAGGAUGGUGUCCUCGCCGAGUGCACAAUGGUGAAGACGGCGGUGCGCAUAGAGAGGAAACCAACGGCGGGGCGCGAAGCGGCAAGAGGCUUCGGGUAAGUGAUAUUGACAGCAAUUCACUGGCAGUUGGUGAAGAUGAAGAGGUGGCCAAGCAUCUCCUUGACCAGGCGAAGGUAGGGGGUGGUGGUGGUGGUUAAGGAGGUCCACGAUGCCAUGAGACGCGAGAAAUGACGGUCAAAAGUCAGCAGGGAGAGAAGACUCACGGGACACCGGCAAAGACAAUGCUCCACCAGUCCUCAGCUGUGGGGAAGCCAUGGCCGAGGACACCUGAACCUAUGAAGGACAUGGAGAGGCUAGCGGCGGUUGCUACAGUCCCUAACGGCGUCGAAACAUCGUCGAAGAAUGGAAGAGACAGCAAUGCUUACCUUUCAUAGCAAUGGAGAGGUCCAGAAGCUUGGUUUUAGGAGGUGAGGGUGGAAAAAAAGUAGUGGAGGCUAGGGGCCCCUUUUUAGCCUUGGGAGGCAGGGUUAAGGAGAGGCAAGCGGUGGCUAGGGUGACGUGGAGGUGAUGUGAAGGAUAGAGUGGGUGGAAAGGCUAGCUAUUGUGAGCGAGUGGGUGAAGAAGGUAGGGGAAGUGGGCGAUGAUCACGUCCUCGUGAGUUUGAAUGAGCAAUCGUGGGUGGGAAGGCGUGACAAGGGAUCGCGACAUGGCCAAGGUUAGGGAUGAUCCCGACAAGUAGACCCCACCUAUCAGUGUGUCACGACCGGAAUUAACCCAACAGGCAUUCCAUAAGUGCGUGUAUUAUUCCUUGUCCCAGGAGGCAAGGUACACCAAAAGUUGAUACAAUUCAGAGUUUAACAAGCGGAAGCGUAAAUAGUUAAUUUAUUACAUGGGCGACGAAGGCUCAGCACACACGAAGAUAAACAAAAACAGUGGAAGACUAGGGCGACGACCACAGGCACUUGACGGCAGGCACGAGCUAGACACCAACGCCAUCAUCCUCCAGGAACUCCUCUUCUAGGUUGGGGAAAAAAUGAGCAAGAUUGAGUACAACCACCGUACUCAGCAAGACACACCCACAAUUGCAGAAUAAAUGUGAAGGAGUAUAAGGGGGUUAUAAUAUAGGGGUUAGGAUUUGCAGUAAACAGCAUUUAGAAGACAUUUAGUUGCUCAGGGCCAUUUUGUAAAGACGAUCCUAGAACUACACAGUGUUAUUAAUCAAGGCCAUGAACCCCCACGAACCUGCCUUAACCCAAGGCCUAUGAUGAUUCAGACCGAACUGGCAACCAGACCCAGCAGGUCCCAGUUCGUCCCAAGCCAACCCAGGCCAACCAUUUCACAUUUUAGUUGUUAAGCAAGUUUUAAAAAAUAAACCACUAACUUGGGUACAUUGCUAGGCUUGCCCAUAACCAAGGGCGCGGCUAUUCGAAUAGAUUAUACUCUGAUCAGAGGUAUACAUCUUUACCCACAAGACACGUCUUCCUCACGUGUAACCACGUGCCACAUACCACCACGGCAUACAGACGGAAGACAUGACAUAGUUCCCAACCCAUCCUAGCCAUAAACAAGAGUACCGACCCAACCCUGGCUAUGGCCGGAAUCCCGAGACAGGUAACCAAGGUUGAGCCCCUAGCAACAAGACACCGGCCCUGUGCCGUGACAUCUCGACUAUCGGGCCACAGCUUGUGUAGCCUUCAUUUGUCCUCGAGAUGUCCAUCAAGCCUCGACUUCGUAUAUCCCUAUCCAUGUACUUUUGCCCAUGACCAGACUGAGCCACAAACUACGCCUUACCCACUAGACAUGUGGAAGUACGGUAGUGCUUUGCAACAGAGGCCCGAAGACCGGUCCUUAUAGUGGCCGAGGUGCUUCUAUCAAAACCAUGCACCUCGAGCCCAGCCUAAAACCAUUUUGAGGGUUUUGAAUAGAGGAGAAGGUGUGUGUCCAAUUCCACAUAAGCCAACCAUUCCACAAGGUACAACUGAUAUGAGAACUCCCAAAGUCUAGAAUUAUAAAACCACCUAAAAUUUGUCUAAUUUAAAUGGCGAAGCAUCUACCUAAAAUUGGUACUAGUGAGACCAUAAUACAGUACACACCAGUGAGGUUUUAGUUACUCUAGGGUUAAUAACAAUAACAAUAAUAAUAAGGUCAUAACAAAGGUAAAUAGGCAUGGCUAAAUAAAACAGUGAUAACGUGGGAAUUUGAAUAAAGCGAUAAUGCAUUAAUUUAAAACAAAAUAAUUUUAAAGCAUGGGACAACAAUAUGUUCAAAGGAGAUGUGACUUGCCUUGCUCGCUUUCCCAAACGUCGGCUUCAACCUCCACGUAGAGCGGAUCUUCCGAAGCUGCAGCGUCUACACGACCAACAGAAAGAAAAAAAGGCUUUUACUUUAAUAAACUCCAUAUAACAAGCAGAAACAAAGUACAUAAAUGGGUUCUUGACUUCUUAAGGAAAAAUUAGAGACUUGAACGGUCCAAUUCCGAGUUCAAAUGACCAAGAUAUAGCCAUUUGAAGUUUAUAUGCUCUUAAUGUGAAUAUUUGCGAAUUUCUUCAUUUAAAUUUUAAUUAAAAAUAGGGUUUAUUGCGUCAGCAGAGGGGAGAGGGUGCGUGGACCGGGUCCACGGGAGUGGGGCCCAUGCGGCAGCCUCACGGUCCACGGUGGACUGGGUGCACUCGGGCUCACACCGGUCGGCCCCGUGGGCCCCACGCGUCAGCCGCACCCGAGGGCACGGAUGGCUGACGGCCGAGCCCCACGCGGCCACACGGCGCGCUCGGAGGCGGCCACGUCGGCGCGGUCGGCGGGAGGCGGCGCCUGUGCCCCUAUGGUCACUGGUGAGGUGGUGGACGGUGGUCCACGCCUCGAGAGAGGGAAAGGGAAGGGGGGAAAGGAGGCAGCGGUCCACGGCUCACCCCUGGCGAUGACGGCGACGUAGGAGGCGGUCGGAGCGGAGAGAGAUGGCGGUGCGGCUAGGGUCGACGGGGACGGCAGCGUUCUGGCGGUCGGCGAGCUCGGCGAGGCGGUGGACGGUGUCGGCGGUGACGCGGCGAAGCCGAGGUUGGCGGCGCCGAGGUGGGAGGAGGUCCGGGGCGACGAUGGCGACGGACCGGAGCUCGGCAGCGAUGGCGGAGAGAGAGGAGAGCGGUGCGAGCGCGUUUCCGAGGGGGAAAGAGGGCGGCGAGUGGUGGAAACGGUGGUGAGGAGCUCGGGGAGGGUUUAAAUAGGGUCGAGGGCGAGAGAGGGCGGCCGGAGGGGAAGGAAACCGGCGCGGGGGUCCCGGUCGGCAUCAAUGGCGCCGGCGAGAUUUGCGGGAGCAAAUCCGGCCGUUUGAAUGCGGGAGGGGGAGGGGAAAAUGGGGGGGGGGAAAGGGAGAGGGAAUCACGAGGAACAUUUCCCCCCUCUUAAUUGCACGCGGGAACGGUCGGGGGCAGCGGAUUUGGCGGUGGCGGCGGUGUUAGGCGCGGGCGAAGGGAGCGGCGGGAUGAGGGGGAUGAUGGGUGGGCCCCACCCGUCAGCGAGGGUGGCGGGCGGGCCCGCCCGUCAGCGACGUCCGCACGGGGAGGGGCCGAGUGGGGCCGCGGGGGAAGAGAGAGAGGGGGAGGGAGAUGGGCCGAAUUCAGCCCAGAGAGAGAGAGGGAGGGGAUUUUUAGGGUUUUUCUUUUUAUAAAACUUUUUUAACUUUGUUUAUUUCUUGAUAAUUAUUAUUUGUGCUCUGAAAAUUCCACUAAAAUCUAUUUACACAUUUUAGCUUUUAGGAAAUAUAAAAAAUCCCCCAAGCCUUAUUUGACUUUUAACUUUGCACAUUUUAAUUUUGGAGGCUUUCACUUGGAUUUUAAUUAUUCUGAGCAUAAUUUUAAGGAUAUAUUUUUAGGGUCAUUUUAGGACGUGACACAGUGUCCUAGGGUGACGACUACAUGGGAGGCUAGGCUGGCAUGAGUGUGAAGAGGAUAUGGCUAUGGCGACUUGCUAGCAUGCGCGGGCGGAAGGGGAGGAAGGAUGCACCGAGAGUGGACCCAAGAGUAUGAGAGUUUUUUCUAAGCUCUUAUGAAUUUAUUUAUUAUGAUAUUUGUUUAUGGGUUAUUAAAAGUAGCUCCAAUUCUCUAAAAAAAAUCAAGCAAAAAUACUGUGAGUAAUUUAAAGCAUGGGGAAUUUAAGAAAAUUACACCCAACUAGAAUAGAUUAUUAUUUAAGGGUUUUAUUGUUGUAGAUUUUCCUAUAAGAUUUUUUUGGCAAUUUCUAGAAAUGUACUAUUAAUGGAAUUAUUACUUAGGGGAAAAACUCAGGGUAUUACAAAUCUACCCGUAUUAAAUGAAAUCUCAUCCCUAAGAUUCGGAGGUGCUGGCUAAGAAGUGCAGAUGGGUGGACUUCAAUUUAUCCUCUCGUUCCCAUGUAGCCUCAACUUUGAAUGAUUGCUUCAUUUGGCCUUGUAGAAACUGACCACUCGUCUUUGUGUGUUUCUUUUGCUGGUUUGGAUGCGGAUGGAUUUCUUUCCACAAGUCAGAUCCUCUGUAUCUCGAUCUGAUCCAGGCCAAUUUGCUCAAUGAGCACUCUUAAGCAUUUCUUCAAUUGAGAAACAUAGAAUACAUCAUAUAUGACAACCAUGGUUGGGGGUAACUCCAACUGGUAUGCCACUUGGGGUAACUCCAACUGGUAUGCCACUUCUAUGCCACUUCUCCUUUGUGACUCAAAACCUUGUAUGUCCCCACAUAGCAUGGUGCCAAUUUUCCCUUGGUUUGUAAGAGGGUACACCUCGAAACGGGGGGACUCGAAGGUACACAAAAUCUCCUUCACUAAAACACAAAUCUCUUUAACGACUAUCAGCUUAGCUCUUCUGGCAGGAUUGGGCUACCCUCAGCCUUUCUUGAAUGAUUUUCACUUUUUUCUCUGCUUCGUUUUGGAUGCCAGUCCCAACUCCCAAAGAGCCGACAUUCUCUCGUUUGAUCCCAAUUAAAGGAGAGGGGGUGCAGCAUUUUCUCCUACACAAUGCCUCGAAUGUGGCUAUCUAUAAGGCUAUCUUGAUAGCUGUUGUUGUAAGAAAAUCCUGCAUAGGGCCAACUCUUAUCCCAAGUCCCACCAAAGUCUAAGGCAUAAGCUCUCGACAUAUCCUCUAAUUAAUAUAUGUUUAAUUUGUUUUGUCUAACCAUCGGUUUGAGGGUGUUUGUACUGAAAUUUUAGGUUCUUAGUUCACGGUUUGAGUGGUACAACCGGUUGGAUCACUGGUCUAAAGAUGUUUUAAGAAAUUAAAGAUUUCAUAGCUAUCACACUAACAUCAACGCAAUGUAGUGGUAAGGAACUGCCUUCCCAACCAUCAGUUUGCAUGGUUCCAUUUUAGUUCUGGUCGGAUUAUCGGUCUGGUCCCUUCAUUUUAACUAAACGGGACCAACUAAGGCUCAACUUCUGUUUUUUAUUUCCUUUUUUUUCUUUGCUAGUCUGUUUGGUCCGGUCCUAAUAACUAUACUCUUAAGUUUUUUGUUUCAUGUGUUCUUGCGGCUGUUCUUGGGGAUGUUCUUGGCUGUAGCUCAUUAGCUAUUCAACUUUUGGUGAAAAUUAGAUUCGGUCGUGAGAUUUUUUGUAUGAAUGUAUUUGCUAGUUGGGACAAUUAGUAAUGUAUGUAAUAGAAUGUUAUAAAUAACUGGAAUAAUCAUGCUGUAAAAGACUGCGAUUGAAUGUAUUUGCCUCUGAAAUUUCUUGCUAGUCACAGUUGUUGGCUCUAUGAUGUAAAUAAGUGUAAUAAAUCAUGUUUUAUUAAUUUGUUUUCCGCUAAAAUAGGAAACACUGCUGAUUGGAUACAUGUGCAAGCAUGAUGGAGUGGAGUAUAGUAAAUUAAAGAGACCUAUAUUUUUUGUGCCUUAUCUAUGUGUGAGGUGGUUUGUGGAUACGUAUCCCUCACAAAACAGAUUAUUGUGAUUUUGGGGUGUCUGCAUAUGGACAUGCCCUUUGCAUGCCAUUUUAAUUAUCAAAUGCUUCAUACGUUGCUCAUGAAUCAGGGGUGUUUGCAAUUUGAUGUUAAUCUUAAGUUUUCUGAUCGAUUUUUGUUGACUUGAUUUAUUAGUGCAAAUUAAAUAUUGUUGUUUGUAGUCUAAAGAAAUGCAAAAAUUGCACAAAACACUUCUCUGGCAAUUUUUGGUAGUCUCACUUUGUUGACGCAAUGGCUGGCAAACUGUGAGUUACUAUGUACAAGUAACCAAACAUCUUCUCUCUGAGGUAGUUGGUGGUAGUUAGAACAUCAAUUAAACUUACAGUACGUGAACCAAACAUGAAAUGUAUGCUGGAGGGAGUAAUAAAAUGCAGGUUGAAUGCAUGAUGGGAUUGAGUCAUGGAGAUAGUUUGUCCACAUUAAAAUCCAAAAUCCGGAGGAUAGAUGAAUGAGGUUUGUAGAAAAAAAAACGCAUACAAAAUUUGGUUCUAAAGCAUCGAAACUUAACGAUUUCAGUUUUGAAUUAUAUCGAAAGUUACCGGUUCACUUUAACAGUAUCAUGGAUCUAUAAAUAUAUUUUGUGAUCACUUGAUUAAUUAAGAGGUCAAGAUUUCCGUGAAAAAAGGGAAAAAUUAAGAGGUAAAUGUUUCAUGUAGCUUGCUCAAUGGGAAGUAGAAAUCAAGGUUCAAGGGUACGUUAAUUAAUAUAUACCAUAUGUAUUACUCCAAAUAUAAUGGAAUUGAGAGUACUAUAAGUCUAUGACAGCUGCCAAAACUACUUAACCGAUCACAUAUUCACAUUCGCAAGCAUAAUGAAAUGGAGAAAAGCUCAACAGAAAUUAAUGUAGCACACGCAUGAAAUUAAUUAAACGCACUGAUGAAGUAAUUAAUUCUUCAAGCAAGCAACAGAAAUUACAUAUAAAUUAAUUUGGGCACAUAUGUAUACUAAGCAAUGCAAGCAAGCACGGCAGCCAGCUACGUCGCGAUCUAUCAAAGCGACAACUCAUCGAUAACAACUAAACUUAAUUGGUACCCAAUUUAUUUCUAGAAAACAAAGUUAGAAGAAAGAUGAGACGACGAGACAUGCAGCUUCAGUGGCUGAUAAUUGCAGAAGAGCCUAUCUCCGGUUCUUCUUCUUCCUCUUGUAUCCACAGAAGCCACCCGACAGAGGGUGCCACAUCCCGGUGCAGAAGAUGCAGUUCUCCACGGUGCAAUCUGUAAUUGCAAAAGAAAACACACAGGAUUAAUAUUUAGCUAGUUAAUUAGUUGCCCAGAUGCAUAUUGAAAACGCUUCAGUUGCAUGAAUCUAAUUAAUUAUUGAUCAGUUAAUUAGCUGCUGGUGGUAUAUAUGUGUGCUUGCUUACUUUCACUUUCUUCGUCCAUCUCUUUCCACAUUCUGACCUCCUCCGGCUUGUCUUUUCCGACGAUCUCGGCGAAGGAGUAACGCUUGCCGCCGCCGCCGCGCCGUCCCGGCGUCUCGCCGGUAAACACGACGUGGAAGUAGAUCAAAUCGUCGUUGUCGUCGAACAGCUUCAUGGUGAAGGCGUUGCUGUCGAAGCCUUGGACAUUCUCCAGGUCGAUGUCCUGCACAGGAGCAUAUAUCACUCUGAUCAAUUAUGCAUACACACAAAUAUAAUCGAUUGGAAAUGACAAUAUUCAAUUCAAUGCAUGAUGAUCUAUAUCAAGAGAUCUAGAGAUGACAUGCAUGAUAGCAGUUAAUUAAUUAGCUAGUCACUUACAAUGUGGUCUAACGCCAGCUUGGUGCAUGUGGUGAGCUGAUCAUCACCAUCCCCAUAUCCUGGAAAUUAGGGUAGCAAUUACUUGGUACCAUGUAUAAAAAUGCUGACUGAAGAUAUGAGUAGUUCUCAAAAAAAAAAAAAAAACUGACAAUAUGGAUUAUACUAACUGAUGGUCAAGAGAGAAUAAACUAAGCUAGCUAGCCAUAAUCAACUAAUCAACACAAAUACUGCAUGUACCUACCGUUGUUGUUUGCCAUUUGAUGACCAAGGGCUUGAGUAAGCUAAAAGAGGCUUGAGUUUCUAUGCAUGCAUUGCCUUAUAUAUAUAGUCAUAUAGUAAUCUAUCAUGCAAUCGAUCAAGAUCGUGUGAUACUUGUGAUCCUCAACCGAUUAACCGAGACAGUUGUGUCAUGCAACUACGACAUCCGGGGACUGAACGGCUUCCUCGACAUCAAGACCACCGCAAUUAAUUAAGGCCCGACGCGUUAUAUUAAAGAAGAGUGUCUUAUUUUACUUAAAAAUUGUUAUCAAAUCUUACAAUACGCUGUUAUAUAAAACAUUAAAACCUAUGGAACAAGAUCAGCAACUCGGCCCACACCAACACCCAGCAACUCCACUAGACUCAUGCCAUGAGCUUACCGCUUUGGGAAGUUAAAAAACAAAAAAAAAAAAAAGCUUACCUGAGCCUCGGUUGAUGCCCUGUAAAUAAAAAUUUAUAAUUUUUUCUCUUUUUGCUCUAUCAAAAUAUAUAUGAGGCAAAGCUUUUACCCUUUUUUUCUUAAAAAAAACUAAACUCAUGCCAUUGUUGCCACACAUCACACAUCACGUCUUCCAAUGCUGCAAGCUUCGACUUCACAGUCACUCGUAUCGUUUAAGAAAUGGCUGUGCUAGAUACAUGCAACUGGUACAUGAAAGUGUCAGCUCUACCAAAGGUGUGAUGGUCGCUCUAAUCCCACUCUAACCGCAUUGAUCUUAAACUGACGACGGACGCCCGGAACUACAAAAUGGUGCUUUCAAACCAUGGCCAGACCCAAAAAAAAUUAUGUUGGGGAUGCACACAUACAUGUCACGAGAAUUGUGACAUAUACUUCAUCUAUCCAGAAAAAAAAACCCAAUCCUAAAUUUGAAUAUGGAUAUAAACCCAUGAUUAUUUCUUUUUGACAGAUGGAGUAUAUAUAUCAAUAUCUUAAUUCACUAAAGUUUGUAAGAAAAUAUGAAGUUAAUUAAUUAUAAUUAUUGUGUACUACCUCCGUCCCAAAAUAAGUGCAGCUGUGAAUAUCCGUGCCCAACGUUUGACCGUCCGUCUUAUUUGAAAAUUUUGUGAAAAAAUUAAAAAUAUUUAGUCACACAUAAAGUACUAUUCAUGUUUUAUCAUCUAAUAGCAAUAAAAAUACUAAUCAUAAAAAAUUUUCAAAUAAGACGAGCAGUAAAACGUUGAACGUGAAUAGUGCAAAACUGCACUUAUUUUGGGACGGAGGGAGUAGAUGCAACCAGAAGAUACUUUUUUUUUAGCACGGUGAGUUACUCCGGUGGUUGGCCGGGGUUGAUAUCGUGUCUCAGCGUCUCCCGAAGCAAUGGCGGAGCGUUUCCUCCAAAAAUUGGGUUUCACCAAAUGAAGGUUUCUUCGUCGAGUGCAUCAGCAAUGUGGAAUGUGGAAACAGAGAUCUUAAGCUGUGCAUAUAUACACAUCAUGGGAGUGAUCUUUAUAAGGAUCAUUUGGAUGAGCUAGCAUUAUACCUGAGACAAUACCGUAUCCCUAUGAACAAAAAAAAGUUACUAAAUAUGUUCUUCCUAUAAAAACUUCAAUAUUGUAUUUAAAAAAUGGUACCGACCAAAAAAAAUCGAAUCACAAGUCACAAGUCACAACUGCUUGUUGAAAACCAAUGCAUUGCUCAAUACACUGUAAUCCACUAUUUUUUUGGUUGAUAGCAGUAGUACAUUUCGGUUUCCUGGAGAUGUGUGACCUGUCGGCUGCACCGCUAUUUCGUUGACAGUAUGUGUUAGAUUGCUGACAGUGACCAGGCGUGGUGACCUGCUGAGAACACUUCAAAUUUGCACUCCCUCUGAAUCCUAUCAUUGGGAGCAAACCUUAAAAAAGAAAGCAAAAUUAUCUUGUUUAUUUACAAGUCAGUUUCUUUGAAAAAGCGAGAUCAAUAUGUGCAUGUGCAGCCAUGAAGCAUGGUAGUAGCACAGAAUUCAUCACCAUGUUGCAGAUGUUACCUUACUGCCUAAAUUAACGGUUCCUGAUCGACAAGGACAGGUCAUGCCACAUUUGCCAUAUACAGUGUAUGUCAAGCAGGUUGGAAAUGUAUGCAUAAAACCAUGAAUUACUCGCAACAUUGCAUUGCUGUGCAACUUGAAAUCUUGCAUACUCCUAAAAUCCUAUUCCUGGUUUGAAAGAAGCUUGCACACUGACUUGGACUGAGCACACAGGCUCGCUGAAUGGCUGACUGGGUGAUGACUCCAGUGCUAUCAACCUCCUAUUGCAAUUGAAGGAUGUCAGAAUCUCUCGCGUUUUCUGGUGUUUUUGGCAAUUGAAGGUUCUUAUUUGAACAACGCCAUAUGAACAACGGAUAAGGUUAAUGCCUACUGGUGGGGGAGCCUAAAUGUAUGCUAAUCAAUACACUGUACCCCACUUGUUUUUUAACAGUAGAGAUCUCUACACCCUUGAAUUUUUAAGGAAUGCAUGUGUGCACAGUUGUUCAGAGGCUGCAUCUGCCACGAAGUUCAAGCUUCAAAAACCUGUUAUCCAAAGAAGUACACUUUUCUUUACUGGAUCCAGAAACCACUGACCAGUAUGGAUUCUUAUAAUAAGUUAACAGCAACGCUUGAAAGACGAACACCUGCUCUCCAGCUCCAGCAAAAAUGGUUGCAAGCUCUGCCUCUCUGCUCCUUCUCCUGAUUCAUCCUCUUUUGUGCAUAUCAGCACAUGAUUUCCUCUCGCCAGGCGCAUCUCUAUCUGAAGACGAUGUGCUCUAUUCGCCGAAUGGCGAUUUCGCCUGCGGCCUCUACAAGAUCUCCCCCAAUUCCUGCACCUUCUCUAUCUGGUUCACCAACUCGGCUGACAAAACAGUUGUCUGGAGCGCAAAUCCUCUCCACCCUGUCUACACUCAGGGAUCCAAAAUGGAGUUGAAAUCCGAUGGCAGCAUGGUUUUGACAGAUAAUAGUGGCCAGAUUGUUUGGACCAACAACGUGAGCUCUUCAAAUGGUGAACAAGUUCAAGCUCAGCUCUUGAAUACUGGAAACCUCAUUGUGAAGGGCAAAGGUGACACCAUUUUAUGGCAAAGUUUUGAUUCUCCUACCGAUACCUUGUUACCCACUCAAAACAUUACUGUUCGAAUUAAGCUCACAUCUACUAACAGAUUACUUGUUCCCGGUCGCUAUAGUUUCCACUUUAAUGAUCAAUUCCAGCUUUCACUGUUUUAUGAAGAGAAUGAUAUCCCUUUUAUUUACUGGCCAAAUCCGACUCGGACUAUCUCGGGGAGGGAAAGGAUGUUGUAUAAUAUCAUACCGACCGGUACUCUUAAUAGCUCGGGGCAUUUUCUUGAAAGUGAAAAUUUAACUUUCAUGGCUGCUGAUUGGGGUCUUGGGAUUAUGAGGAGAUUAACACUAGAUUAUGACGGCAAUCUCAGGUUAUACAGUCUGAACAAUUCAAGCGGAACAUGGUCAGUCACAUGGAUGGCAUUUCCUCAGCUCUGCAAUGUACGUGGUGUGUGUGGUAUAAAUGGCAUAUGUGUGUACACACCUGUGCCUGCCUGUGCGUGUCCUCCCGGUUAUGACUUCAUUGAUCCAAGUGAUCAGAGCAAAGGCUGCAGCCCAAGAGUCAAUAUCACUUGUGAUGUACAACAGAAGGUAAUGUUUGUUAGCCUUCCAAACACUCAAUUCCUAGAUUCUGAUUUAAGUCCUCUUCGUUAUGUUUCUCUUGGAGCUUGCGAGAACAUAUGCUUGAAGGACUGCAAUUGUAUGGGGUUUGUAUAUUGGCAAGGAAUUGGUAAGUGCUAUCCAAAGUCCGUUCUUCUUAGUGGUGUAAGCUUACCUCACAUUGGUAGUACUGGCACCAUGUAUCUCAAGCUCCCUAUGGAAGAAGUGUUGGAGGAAUUACAACUGUCGGAGCAUUCAAUGACUUCAAUCCCACAGUCACAGCCUUUUGGUCCAAAAUACGGUCCUGACUGCAAUGCUAACAAAAAUUUGGACGAGCAUAAGAGUGGUCAAAAUGAAUCGAAGUAUUUGUACUUCUAUGGUUUCUUAUCAGCAAUAUUUCUUGCAGAGGUAACAUUUAUUGUAUUCGGAUGGUUUAUUUUGCGAAGGGAGGGCAAACUAGCAAGAGGAAUAUCUGAGGUUGGCUAUGAAAUGGUAACAAACCAUUUCCGUAGGUACACCUACAGAGAGCUGAUGAUAGCCACCAGAAAGUUUCAGGAUGAGAUUGGACGAGGAGCAUCAGGCAUUGUAUACAAGGGGAUCUUAAAGGACAUGAGAGCAGUAGCCGUGAAAAAGUUGUUAGACAUAAACCAGGGCGAGGAAGAAUUCAAGCAUGAACUGAGUGUGAUUGGCAGGAUCUACCACAUGAAUCUAGUGAGGGUUUGGGGAUUCUGUUCUGAUGAUCCACACAGGAUGUUGAUUUCAGAGUAUGUCGAGAAUGGAUCAUUGGAUAAAAUAUUAUUUGGUGCUAAGGGCUCACAGGCCUUACUUGGAUGGAAGCAAAGAUUUAACAUUGCUCUAGGAGUCGCUAAGGGAUUGGCAUAUCUUCAUCAUGAGUGCUUGGAGUGGGUCAUCCACUGUGACGUGAAACCUGAAAAUAUACUGCUGGAUGAAAACAUGGAGCCAAAGAUUGCCGAUUUUGGCCUUGCGAAGCUGCUAAAUAGAGGAGGAUCCAAAUUAAAUGUGUCACGGAUCCAAGGAACUAGAGGCUAUUUAGCACCUGAGUGGGUUUCAAGUCUCCCGAUAACAGCAAAGGUUGAUGUGUACAGCUUCGGAGUAGUGCUUCUAGAAUUACUCAAGGGAGCUCGUGUUUCGGAUCUUGAAACAAAUGAGGAUGAAGAGGUGGAAAUGGUCCUCGGGAGGAUAAUUAGGACACUCGCGGAAAGUUUGAAGUCAGGUGGGGAUGGACAAUCGUGGAUUGUUGAGUUCAUUGACACCAGAUUAAAUGGCCGAUUCAAUGACUUGCAAGCAAGAGCAAUGAUGAAGCUUGCUGUUUCAUGCCUAGAGGAAGACAGAGGUAGAAGACCCACCAUGGAAAGUGUGGUGGAGGUGCUUGUUUCAGUUGAUGAAGCCAGUUCUACAAUUUAGGAGUUAUAAUUCUGGUAAAGAGCUUUGCCAUUUGACAUCCACAGAAUAUAUCUUGUAGUCUUUCAUAAUUGGCUAAAAUAUCAUCUACUUAAGAAAAUGUCUUUUGGUCUGAUGCAUUAAGAGGAACUGCUUAAGCCCCAUUGUGUACUGAAUGCAUGAUUUUUCAUGUACUAUGCUUUCUGAAAUGUGCAAUGUAUCAAUUUAGAAAUAAUGGGGUAGUAAUGCAAUUACUAUGCUACAUAUAUUUUGUUGCAAUGAUUCGAACUUAUAGCUAGAACCUGGAGUCCUGGACAAAGUGUGCAUUGGUGUCCUAUGGUAGAAUGAAUCGUGCUGAUAUUUGCAUCGCACCUUACUAUUACGAACCCUGCUACGCUCCUAGAUUGCUCGUUCCCAUGGCAGAUUUUGAGACGCAGUUGGGGCAAUUCACAGCACCAGCACAGCCGCUGCUGCAGCUGUGAUUCAACUUGAUUGGAUCAGAUGAGCCGCAGCAUCGGCUUUCGGCAUCAAUUUGAUUGGAAUUUAACAGGAUGAACGCCGGGAUGUCGCAUCUCAACGAUCCCCUUUCUAACCCCAAACCCUAACGACCUCGUGCAGACACAGAAAGACGGAGAAAGAGAGCAGCUAUUGCUCGUACCGUUGCAGUGGAGAAACGGAGAUGGAGUUUGCUGCAACAGGAGCGCCGCGGCCGGCGCGGGUCUCCGGCUGCCCAGCGAUGCGCGUCGCCGGCGCGCGGCGGGAGGGCGGGCGGCGGCCAUGAUCGGCGGCGCACGGUGUGAAAUGCUGGCAACGCGAGGAGGAGGACACCGUCAGCUGGGCUAGUUGGGCCUUGAGCUAACAUCGGUUUACAUGGGCCCAUUUUGGUUGGAAGAAACGGUGGGCCCAACCGAGGCCCAAGAGAAGCUCAUAUAGGGAUCCCAGGUCCAGUUAAAUUCUGAUGCAAACAUUUGUCCUAUUCAAAAUAAGGAGCAAUCUUUUGAAGAAAAUCCAUUUCGACUGCCUCAACUAUUCGUAUCCUUUUAACUGUAAAAUCAGCCAUAGAGAGGCUCCCUCAAUCACUAAAACCAGCUCACUUUGCGUUCUGAGUGUAUUUAGGUUGUGUUUAGAUGCUAGGGUGAAAAGUUUUUGACGUGUCACAUCGGAUAUACGGACAUAUAUUUGAAGUAUUAACCAUAGACUAAUAACAAAAUAAAUUACAGAUUCCGCCUUUGAACUGCGAGACAAAUUUAUUAAACCUAAUUAAUCCGACAUUAGCAAAUGUUUACUGUAGCACCACAUUGUCAGAUCAUGGAGUAAUUAGUCUUAAAAGAUUCAUCUCGCAAUUUACACGCAAGCUAUAUAAUUAGUUUUUUCCUAUAUUUAAUACUCCAUGCAUGUGUUCAAACAUUCGAUGUGACAGCAAUUAAGCAUAUGACAACAUCCACACACUGGUCCUGUAUUUUUAGAAAAUAAGAAAUAAAACUUGUAUUUUACACUAGCUCUGUGAUGGACAAAUUAGAAACCUACAUGUCCCGUUCAUUUCUCCAACAAGAGUUGGAUGAAGAUAAAGAUUUUCGUGGCACACUUUUCAAACUGUUAAAUGGUAUGUUUUGUGUGAAAACUUUCUAUAUGAAAGUUACUCUAAAAUAUUAUAUUAAUAUAUUUUUCAAGUUUUUAAUAAUUAAAACCCAAUCAAUCAAACGUUAAUACCACUUUAUUUUGCGUAAAAAACUUAAUCUUUAUCUUCAUCUUUAGAAGAAAAAAACACCAUAUGAUGUUGCUUGUAACAAAUCACAUGGAAUGUGCACUGACUAGUACAUAUAUACUUUAUUUAAUUGUUUCAGAUCAGACAAAGAAAGAGUAACUCCAACACGAAUUUACUGAGAAUGAGGAGAUGGAUGUCCAUGAAUAACUACUCUCUCCAUCCAAAAAAAAGACAAACCCUGAGUUUCCGUGUCCAACGUUUAACUAUCCGUCUUAUUUGAAAAAAUUAAGAAAAAAAAUUAAAAAAGACAAGUCACGCAUAAAGUAUUAAUCAUGUUUUAUCAUCUAACAACAAUGAAAAUACUAAUUAUAAAAAAAUUUCAUAUAAGACGGACAGUCAAACGUUGGACACGAAAACUCAGGAUUUGGCUUUUUUUUUUUUCUGACGGAGGGAGCACUUUUGGAAGAUGUUGAAACUAUCUGUUGGAUUAUGUUAUUUUACUAUGUAACGGACUGUACAAACUACCUGUUGGAUGAUGUUAUUUUGCUAUGUUGACUUGUUGAGACAAUUUUUGGACUGGUGAUAUAUUGUUAAGCACAUUUGGAAUGUUUGAAACCUUUGUAAUGGACUGUCAAAGCUAUGUGAUGAACUUGUAAUGGAUUUAUUGGUGUAUGCAAUUGUAAUGGACUGAUUGAUUUGCAAGAUGACUUAUUUUUUUUUUUGAAAAUCAUGAAUUAUCUGACUGCAAAAUUGUGCUCGGAGCGCCCCAAGUUUUUAUACUCCAAAUUUUCGAUCGAAAUUUUCAUAUUUGAAUUAAAAAAAUUUCGGAAGAAAAAAUUCCGAAAUUUCGGUUCUUUCGCCCAGAAAAAAAAACGUUUUGUAACUGCAAACCCUGGCGCGGCAAAGGAGGAGGGAGACAGAAGGGAAAGAAACGCGUCCGUCAACGCUAGGCCACCUAAUGCAAUGCGGACUCCGACGCCAAGCCGGUUUGGAAUUGGAUCCAUAAUCGAUCGGUCUAUAUAUUGGCGGGGUGGACCGUGGGCCGAGGCGAGGCCAGAAGCUGCUUCCAUUCGUUGCCACGAGGAAAUUAAAGCGCACGCAACGGAUCGAUCGAGAGGCGCGACAUCCAUGCAGAAGGACGCGCCUUCCCCGCUGCCGCCGCCGGUGCGAUACUGCGGCGUUCUGGAAGACUACGAGCAACAGGUGGACGAGGAGCCACCCUCGCCCAAGUCGCCCAGCCGGGUCUCUUCCCCGCUGCCGCUGCGGAGCAGAAGCUGUCCGCCGCAUACCGCGCGGAGCUCCGGCGACAAAACGCCCUCAUAAACAACGGCCCACGCUACAGGUUUCGCCGCCCCGGCGAAAAGAGGAGGAGGAAGAAGAAGAAGAAACACAACAAGUCCAAGCACCACCACACGCCGCCGCCGCCUUCUCCAACGCCGAGGCCGAGCCCGCCUUCGCCGAUCUGCCCCUACGAGGAAUAUCCGACCUUCGAACCCGACGACCCAGUCUGGAUGCGGCAGAGCACGAUGUACGCGGAGGCGGUGCUGGAGCACUACAACGCCGCCGUCGACGUCGGCGGUGGCGGCGUCAAGUACGAGCUCGUCAGGGCCAUCUUCAGCGGCGCCAUCUUCACCUGCAAGGCCGCCUACGGCCACGUACGUCAACUUCAUCGCCAGGGCCAUUGGCGGCGGCAGCUCGUGCGACCAGCGGCUCUUCUUCGCCGAGGUGCGCAAGGACAAGAAACGGUAUAUCCCGACGUGCCUCUGGUCCCUGGACGACGAGGCCGACCGAGUCGGCGGCGCCGGCGCCGACCCGCAGGUGGACCUGCCGGAGAUCACCUCGCCGUCGCGGAGGAACUACUGGUUCAGCUGUGACGACGAGAUGAAGCAUCCCAAGGACGGAACAUCCUACCAUGCCGGACACUUCCUGUAGCCAUCUACUACGUCCAUUCCAAAAUAUAACAAUUUUUAUCUAUAAAUCUAGACAUAUAAUUUUUAUCUAUAAAUCUGGACAUACAGUUAUAUAGAUUCAUAGUUAAAAAUAUUUACAUUUUGGGACAAAGGGAGUAGCUAGCUAGCUACUUCAACUACAACUGCAUGUAUUAUAGGCCCUGUUUAGAUUUUAACUUUUUUCUUCAAACUUUCAACUUUUCAACUUUUUCGUCAGAUCGAACUUUCCUAUACAUAAAUUUUUCAACUUUUUCAUGCUGCAUACGUAGGUGGUGUGAUGAUGCACGGCGUCCGAUAUUUGACGUCCUACGCGGAGUCUUUUCCGAAGAAACGCAUUGUCGUUCGCGCGUUCCGCUGUUCCGCACGCGUGACCUGAUGCGACGCGGACACCGACACCGAGACGGUUUGGGACUGGAUCAGAGUAUCCGUCUAUAUAUUUCAUUCGUCGCCACGCGUCAUCAGAUCGAUCUUCCUAGUAGUGCUGAUCCAGAGACGAUCGAUCCAUGGAGCAGGUCGCGCCGCCGCCGGUGCGAUACUGCGGCGUCACGGAAGACUACGAGCAGCAGUUGGACGAGGAGCCACCCUCACCGCUGUCCCCGAGCCGGGUCUCUUCCCCGCUGCCGCUGCCGGAGCAGAAACUGUCCACCGCAUAUCUUGUGGAGCUCCGGCCGCGGCGCAAGAACGCCCUCAUAAACAACGGCCCACGCUACAGGUGUGGAGAUCAUGGGUAUCCCAUAUCUACACGGCGAUGGUAUUCGAGCUGGGCACAGGAUACCUAAUGUAGAUAGAAUUUCUUAUUUGUAUCUUGGGUUUGUUUCUUAACUUGUGUAUCAAGGAAACACCCUGAAACUUAGUCGGUUACGACUGUAUCUUACCUAUAUUUUCAUAUUCCGUUAGGGAUAUAGAUUAUCUUUUGUAACCCGGACUCCUUCCCAUAUAUAAGGGGGGUCCGGGCGCCUCUAGGGGCAUAUGUUGAUUUUUCUCGAAUCAUACAAUCAAUAAUACACUCGGCGGAUUCAUCCCCGGACAGGAGUAGGGUAUUACUUCUUUUAUAAGAAGGCCUGAACCUGUAUAAAUCCUUUGUCUCAAAACCCAUACACUUUUCCAGCUUGAUAGCCACCCCCUUUUAUUAUUGCCGAAAUCUAGUUUCGACAGUUGGCGCGCCAGGUAGGGGUAGCGUCAAGCUUUUCGCCGAUCAGUGCAAUGGGUCCUUUCUCCGGCAUCGACGACCUCGUCUUCCCACCCGGGCAGACGUUUCGGUUCGGCAGCCUCGACUUCGUCACCAACAACUUCGGCAAGAUUUCUCUCCUUGACUCGGAAUCGGACCAGUCGGGAGAGAACCGGAUCUCAGUCCCGUUUGGAUUCCCAAACGCGGCUGAAACCUACUUCAAGACCAUCUCAAUCGAGUCGGCUUCAAACCACUCGGCCGAGAUCGUACCUUCUCCAACGACACCAGAUCAAGAUGAUGGGGCUUACCCACCAGUCCUGAUGAAGCUCCCCGACGAUUUAGCGGCCGUCUUCACCACGACAGCGUCUUCAUCCCGUAGGCCUAGGCGGAAGUCGGCUUCAACACCGAUUUCGCCUAGCUUCAGGGAAGUCGGCGUCAUCCUCCAACCACUCGGCACGGUUUCGACGGAUCAACUAGAUGACUACAACAGCUCUCCCACCGUCGACUCACGUCCUACUGACAUCGUGGAGUACGACGAAUUUAGUUCUCGCUACAACGACUUCGACGACUUCGACGGAAGCCUUGAUGACAACUACACCCCUCUCUACUUUGGCGUUUUCAUGGCCAAUAAUGAGACGGAGGAGCAACGCCAAGCCCGGGAGACCGAAGAACGUCGCCGACUGGAGGAGGAGCAUCAAGCACAAGAACAAGAGCGGCUACGGCGUGAGCAGCAGGACCGUGAGCGGAUCGCCAAGGAGGCUGAAGAUCGACGUCAGCGAGCUUUGGAAGCAGGGCGCCGAGCGCGUGAUCUCAUCGGCCAACAAGACGUCGAAGGGACACCGGUUUUCCGCACCCCUCAACAGAAUGCGGUUGCCGCGAUCACCCUCCUCGACACCCUCCUCAACCAAAACGAGCUCAAUCGUUCCGACCACGUCGUCAACAUCUUGAACCAGACAAAGACCAUGAUUGCGGCCUCGGUUCCAGUUAACUCCGAAAGCGUCCACACGCCGACUGGCAGCCGAGUCCCCCACUUCCGAUCUCAUGACUACCGUCAUCCAAGCCUCAGCAUCACCGGCGCAGGAUCCAACCGCAGGAGCAGGGGUCACGACGAGCGGUCUGUUCACUCACCUCCCGACUUUCAUAGGGAGCGCCGAGUGGAACGGCCUCGCUCACCACCUCGUCGCCGCCCCAUCGAUCUUCGCGACACAAUCAUACAGCGCCGAGCAGCUCGAGGCUACCAUCACUCGCCGGACCGCCACGACGACGACCUUGAUGGAGUAGCAGCCUUCACCGACGACCUGCGUCGAGUGGAUUGGCCAGCCGGCUUCAAACCGACUGGAAUAGAGAAGUAUGACGGCACCACUAACCCUGAAUCGUGGCUUACCGUCUACAGUCUCGCAAUCCGCGCAGCAGGAGGUGACAACAAGGCCAUGGCGAACUAUUUACCAGUGGCUUUAGCGGAUUCCGCCCGAUCUUGGCUCCAUGGACUGCCCCGUGGUACGAUCGGAUCUUGGGCCGAAUUACGCGACCACUUCAUUGCCAACUUCCAAGGCACCUUCGAGCGUCCUGGCACACAAUAUGAUCUUUACAACGUUAUCCAGAAAUCCGGAGAAUCCCUUCGAGAGUAUAUCCGACGAUUUUCUGAACAACGUAACAAGAUCUCCGACAUCUCCGACGACGUCAUCAUCGCCGCAUUCACCAAAGGGAUUCGCCACGAAGAAUUGGUCGGCAAAUUUGGGCGCAAACCUCCCAGAACAGUCAAGCUCAUGUUUGAAAAAGCCAACGAGUACGCCAAAGCCGAAGACGCCGUCACCGCAUCGAAGCAGUCGGGUCCCAGUUGGAAACCGAAAAAUACGCCGGCUACGGGAGGAGGUGGAAGUAACAAUCAUAAGGACCGCAAGCGUAAGCCUGAGGAACUUGUUGCGACCGCCGCUCACUCUUCUCGACAGCGUUCGCGCGUCAACACCUUCGACAAGAUCAUGAACUCCCAAUGCCCGCAUCACCCAAACUCCAACCAUGUGGCCAAAGAGUGCUUCAUCUACAAGCAGUUCGCGGAGCAGUACACCAAGUCUACUCGGAAGAACUCCGACGAAGAGCAAAGCACGUCCAGGAAGAAGGAUGACGGCGACACCCCGGCUGGAUUUCAAGACCACCGCAAGGAGCUCAACCAUAUUUUCGGCGGCCCCAUGGCUUAUGAGUCUAAACGGAAGCAAAAGUUGACUGAACGGGAGAUCAAUGCUGUUCAGCCCGACACGCCCCAGUAUCUUCGAUGGUCAGAGAUUGCAAUCAAGUUUGACCGCUCGGAUCAUCCUGACCGAGUGGUCCACCCGGGGCGGUACCCCCUGGUACUAGACCCAGUGGUCCGUAAUGUCAAGCUUCGCAGAACCCUCAUUGAUGGCGGCAGUGCACUCAAUAUCCUCUUCGCCAAGACCUUGGAUGAUAUGCAGAUUCCUCGCUCCGAGCUAAAGCCAAGCAAUGCGCCUUUUCACGGAGUAAUUCCAGGAUUAUCCGCAACUCCACUCGGCCAGAUCACUCUUCCGGUCACUUUCGGCACUCGGGAAAACUUCCGCACGGAGAAUAUCAGCUUUGAAGUUGCCGAUUUCGAGACAGCAUACCAUGCCAUACUCGGACGCCCGGCGUUAGCCAAGUUCAUGGCCGUCCCGCACUACACGUACAUGAUGAUGAAGAUGCCUGGUCCCCGUGGAGUCCUAUCCCUACGGAGCGACAUCAAGCAAGCCGUCACAUGCGACAAGGAGAGUUGCGACAUGGCCCAAACCCGCGAGAUGGCGUCUGCCCGAGAGGAAAUCCGACUGGCUGCAACCACGGUGAGCGAAGGCGAAGUGCCCGCUGCCAAGAUUUCAAAAGGUGGGGAAACAGAAGCCGCGACUAAAAAGAUUCCCUUAGAUCCUUCUGAUCCUACCAAAACUGCUGUAAUAGGCGCCGAGUUAGAUUGUAAAUAGGAAAGCGCGCUCAUCACCUUUCUUCAAAAUAAUAAAGAUAUCUUUGCGUGGAAACCUUCGGAUAUGCCCGGUAUUCCCAGAGAGGUGAUUGAGCACUCCUUACAUGUCAAAGAAGACGCCAAGCCUAUUAAACAACGACUCCGCCGAUUUGCACAAGAUAGGAAGGACGCGAUCAAGGAGGAAUUGACCAAGCUGUUAGCAGCAGGCUUCAUCAAAGAAGUCCUUCAUCCCGACUGGCUGGCUAACCCGGUCCUGGUUCGGAAAAAGACAGGACAGUGGCGCAUGUGUGUUGAUUAUACCGACCUCAACAAGUCUUGUCCCAAAGAUCCUUUUGGGUUGCCUCGCAUUGACCAGGUAGUUGACUCAACCGCCGGCUGUGAGCUUCUCAGUUUUUUGGACUGCUACUCGGGGUAUCAUCAGAUCCGACUGAAGGAAUCCGACUGCUUGAAGACUUCAUUCAUCACGCCUUUUGGUGCAUACUGCUACGUCACCAUGCCGUUUGGACUAAAAAAUGCAGGAGCAACUUAUCAACGUAUGAUUCAGAGAUGUUUCUCAACACAAAUUGGCCGCAACGUUGAAGCCUAUGUGGAUGAUGUAGUCGUCAAGACCAAGCAAAAGGAUGAUUUGAUCUCGGAUCUAGAAGAAACCUUUGCAAGCAUCCGUGCUUUCAGGAUGAAAUUGAAUCCUGAAAAGUGCACCUUCGGAGUACCGUCAGGGAAGCUGCUUGGUUUUAUGGUGUCUCAUAGGGGCAUCCAAGCCAACCCGGAGAAAGUUACUGCUAUCCUCAACAUGAAACCGCCAAGCACUCAGAAAGAUGUUCAGAAGCUGACUGGAUGCAUGGCGGCGCUCAGCCGAUUCGUUUCAAGACUUGGCGAGCGGGGGAUGCCCUUUUUCAAGCUACUGAAGAAAACAGAUAAUUUCCAAUGGGGACCCGAAGCACAGAAGGCCUUCGAAGAUUUCAAACAACUCCUCAUCAAGCCACCGGUCUUAGCUUCACCACACCCGCAGGAGCCGUUGUUGCUGUAUGUAUCAGCCACCUCCCAGGUCGUGAGCACAGUCUUGGUUGUCGAGCGUGAGGAAGAAGGCCAUGUCCAGAAAGUUCAGCGACCAAUCUACUUCGUCAGCGAGGUCCUGGCCGACUCCAAAACGAGGUACCCUCAGGUUCAGAAGCUGUUAUAUGGUAUUUUAAUUACUACCAGGAAGCUGUCUCAUUACUUUCAAGGUCACCCGGUAACGGUGGUCACAUCGUUUCCACUCGGCGAUGUACUGCACAACCGCGAAGCAAAUGGGCGGAUUGCUAAGUGGGCUUUGGAGUUGAUGUCUUUGGACAUAUCAUUCAAGCCCCGCACUUCAAUCAAAUCUCAAGCGUUAGCUGAUUUCGUCGCCGAGUGGACCGAGUGCCAAGAGGAUACCCCCGUGGAGAAAAUAGAGCACUGGACCAUGCAUUUUGACGGGUCAAAAAGACUUUCGGGCACUGGAGCUGGAGUGGUUUUAAUUUCCCCGACUGGAGAAAGACUAAGUUAUGUGCUUUGGAUACAUUUUUCGGCGUCCCACAACGUUGCCGAGUAUGAAGCCCUCCUUCAUGGGCUACGGAUUGCGAUUUCCCUAGGGAUAAAGCGUUUAAUAGUUCGAGGCGAUUCACAGCUGGUUGUUAACCAAGUUAUGAAAGAGUGGUCUUGCCUUGACGACAAUAUGAUGGCAUAUCGACAAGAGGUACGCAAGUUGGAAGACAAGUUCGAUGGACUCGAGCUCAGUCACGUUCUUCGACACAACAAUGAAGCCGCCGACAGACUUGCCAACUUUGGAUCCAAGCGUGAGGCGGCGCCCUCUGAUGUUUUCGUCGAACACCUUUAUACGCCGACGGUACCUCACAAAGAUACCACUCAAGUUGCGGACACUCAUGAUGUAGCUAUGGUUGAAGCCGACUGGCGAGAGCCCUUCAUACGAUUUUUAACUUCUCAAGAGCUCCCUCAAGAUAAAGAUGAAGCCGAGCGGAUUUCAAGGCGGAGCAAACUUUAUGUUAUGCACGAAUCUGAGUUAUACAAGAAAAGCCCUUCAGGAAUUUUGCAACGCUGCGUAUCUUUAGAGGAAGGGAGACAAUUGCUGAAAGACAUACAUUCUGGGAUAUGCGGAAACCAUGCUGCUGCACGCACCAUUGUCGGCAAAGCUUACCGGCAAGGUUUUUUCUGGCCUACUGCAGUGUCUGAUGCCGACAAGAUUGUGCGCACGUGCGAAGGUUGCCAAUUUUUCGCCAGACAAAUUCACUUGCCAGCUCAAGAGUUACAAACUAUCCCGCUGUCUUGGCCGUUUGCGGUUUGGGGGCUCGACAUGGUUGGCCCGUUUAAAAAGGCAGUCGGCGGUUACACGCACCUCUUCGUGGCCAUUGACAAAUUUUCCAAGUGGAUCGAAGCUAAGCCUGUUGUCACGAUUACAGCAGAUAAUGCUCGCGAUUUCUUCAUCAACAUUGUGCACAGAUUUGGAGUGCCCAAUCGGAUCAUUACCGAUAAUGGCACACAAUUCACUGGCGGAGUUUUUAAAGACUUUUGUGAAGACUUUGGAAUUAAGAUUUGCUACGCUUCAGUGGCACACCCCAUGAGCAACGGACAGGUGGAGCGAGCCAAUGGCAUGAUACUUCAAGGGAUUAAAGCGCGUAUUUUUGACCGGCUAAAACCCUAUGCCGGCAAAUGGGUGCAACAGCUGCCAUCAGUACUUUGGUCUUUGCGUACUACUCCCAGUCGGGCCACAGGCCAGUCACCUUUUUUCCUUGUCUAUGGGGCAGAGGCAAUGUUGCCGAGUGAAGUCGAAUUUGAGUCUUUGCGCUUCCGUAAUUUCCGAGAAGAACGCUAUGAAGAAGACCGAGUGGACGACUUGCACCGACUGGAAGAGGUCCGCGAAGCAGCUUUGAUUCAGUCAGCUCGGUACUUACAAGGGUUGCGACGUUAUCAUAAUCGCAAUGUUCGAUCUCGCGCCUUUCUAGUCGGCGACCUGGUUUUACGGAAAAUUCAAACCACACGAGAUCGGCACAAGUUAUCUCCUCUAUGGGAAGGACCAUUUAUUAUCUCUGAAGUUACCCGGCCAGGUUCAUAUCGACUCAAGCGCGAAGACGGCACUCUCGUCGACAAUUCUUGGAACAUUGAACAUCUUCGUCGUUUCUACGCUUAACUUUAUCACUGUAUUUCCCUAUUUUGACUGUCAAACAUCAAGUUUUCUCCUUGAAGUUGUCAGUCGGGGGCUAUCAUCAUAAUAAUGGAGUGUGAUUUUUUAUCAAUUUAGUUUGCUUACUUGGUUUAUCAUUGCCUUGUUUGGUUUUUCUACUUAGUUUGCGAGGACUGAAAGUUUUUAAUAGCUUCUUUGGGUUCUAGGCUCAACUAAGCUUAGCAAAAACUUUUAAGAAAUCAAAAACUUCGCAAGAAUCAUCAAGCACAGCAUAAAUACACCAGUAUUGUACAAAUUGAGCCUCCAUGUAUUACAUUCAAACUCAGUCAGAAUCAGUCCUUUCAUCAUCAGAGUCUUCAUUACUCGGCUGGAGGUCGUUGUUGCGAAAUUGCUCUACAACAUCGCUCGCAAUUUUGUCAGCCGCAUUUUGCGCACUACUGAUAAGAUCAAGGGCAGCUUCUUCACUUGUCCCGUCUGCAAACCCAUCAAUGGUGUCAACCUCAAUUCUCGGGUACAAGGAUUUUGUCAUCGCCAAGGCCAUGCCAGCUCCCAUGCUUCCAGCUUUCUUGAUAUUCUUGAAAUAUACUUCCGGAGCAACACUCAGCUUGUCAAAUAUUUCGGUUGCGUCGAGUGCACUCGGACCACCAUUAUUGAGGAACAUGGCUUGGAUAAUUGGUGCAGCGGCAUUGGCGACGUCAUCUCUUGCUCCUUCAAGCCUCUUGAUCUUACCAACCAGGACGUCAAACUGAGCUUGAGACUUGAUUUUACGGUCUACAAAACACAUUUAUAAUCAGAAUCUACUGCAUUUAAAAGAGGAAAGUUCAGAUCAUCAGCCGGCAGUACCUUCAACUUCUUUCACGGCUGAGUCCCUUUCUGCAGCCAGCUCUGUUUUGUCUUUUUUCAAGGCUUCAAUCUGUUUUUCCAUCUGAGCUAUUCUGGUGGCUUGCGCUGUUUGAAAUCCAAGUGUUUGAGGAUGCAAUUAUGACAGCAUAAUUCAAUGGAACAGAUCUGGAUGAUUACCUUUGGAUGAACCACUCAGCUCAUAGUUUGAAUCCUGGAGCUGAGCGAUUCGGUCCCUUAACUCCUUUUCCGUCUUCUUGGCGUGCUCCUUGGCCUCAUGUAGCUGGUCCCUAACCGCUUCAAGAGUUCCCAAAUGAGGAACCAGCUUUUCCAAAGUUGUAGUCUUGGCCUCAUUGCGAAGAUGGAUUCUCUGCACGAUGGUUCACGGUUAGGUUCUGCUAAAAAGAAAACAAAGUUACCGAAGGCCGUCACCCGGAAGACUUACAUUUACAAUACGAGUGGCUUCUCCGAGCGCUUUCUUCAGCUGGCACACUUCUUCAUCUUCUUUUUGACGGUUUAUGACUAUGCCUGCGGCUUGUGAGUUCUCGUCCCACCAUUUGAUCAAGAUAGGAGGACGAGAGUCGUCGGUCGCCUUUAUGCGAGGGAUUUCUUCUCCGUCAUCUCCUGAUGGUCCUGAUGUGUUUCCAAGCCAUUAGACAGAUAAACUGAGGUUAUUUAAAUCGACAUUGUUUGAGAAGACAACUAACCUGAAGAUGUACCUGGCUGAGCGUGAAGUGAUCUUUGUUCUUUACCCGGAGACCCGAUUGUCGAGUCGUUACCAGCCUCUGGUCCUUGCGAAGUCGUCGUCUGCGUUUCUACUUCGGGAAUUUCUUGAUCAGGGCCUGCGUCCGACUGGUUUCCAGUCGGGGGCUCUUGAGUUGUUGCCGUUUCAGUUGUUGCCGACUGGUUUCCAGUCGGCGGCAGGUCACUCGGAUUGGCCCUAUCUCCCGAAGCAUGGGCGCCAGUCGGCUGGCUUUCAGCAGUCGGCUGGUUUUCAGUAGUCGGCUCGGAGUCCUUGGAUAUAUUUUGCUCUGUCUUAGCCGGAUCAGGGUCUUUUCCAGAUGGAUCUAUAUCAGAUGGUUUCCUGCAGAGUGUUUUUUCAGUAUUUAGCAUUAUUUUCAUCGGAAAGCAUGCUGAAGCGGAAUUAUACCGAGAGGUCUAAUACCUGGAAGAUGUUCUGAUCUUUGGCAUUGCGCGGCCAGCCAGUUUUUUCCUGGGCAUGGUGCGCUUUGGGGGUUUGUUAGGCGAGCCCUUAUCCCCAGUUUUAUCAUCGUCGCCUUCAUCAUCAUCAAGUACCAGUUUUCUCUUGCGAGGACCUGUUUGACCAGCCAAUUUGGAGGUCUGAGGUUGCGGAUCUGGUCUGAUCGUUGGCCCUCCACCUCCCUGAGCGGUGUGUUGGCGAGGAGACCGGCGCUGAGAGACUGGUGGAUCUGACUUCAUCAAUGCAUAUUCCUGCACAAGAUGCUUCCAUAGUUAGUCAAUUCAGCAUGAAGAUAAAACUAUGUUCUGAUCAUGGUUUGAUAGUUUCCGAUGCAUACCUGUGGAGGCGGAUUGAAUGCGUUGAAUGGCACGACCGGCAGUUGGUGAGAGUAGCUGACUACAAUUGCAUUUGAGAAGAUUUUAUACAUCCUCUCCUUCAUGAUUUUGAAAUCCAAGGAGUCUGGUUCUUCACGGUUGGGAUCAUGUUUGCCGUCGAACUCGAAUGCUGUGCGGGAUCUUUCCUUAAUUGGCGCCAGUCGGCAUUUGAUGAAGUGCCGAGUGAUUUGCUCUCCCUGUAAGCCUUGUUCUUUAAGAUUUAACAUACGAUCCAACAACUCCAAGGCUUGUACUGCUUCAUCUCCGAUCGGAAGAGAGUUCCAAGUGUCUUGGUACAUUGGAGGAAGACAAGAGUACCCGGGAAGAGCAGGCUCGGGAUUCUGAACAUAGAACCAGUUCGCAUGCCAUCCUUUGUUCGAAGUCUUGAAGGGCAUCGAGAAAUAUUUUUGGCUUAGAGUUCCCCUUAGUUGGAAUCCUGCCCCCCCGACUACACACGGUUUGUUCUUGUUUGGUUGGGGUUUGAGGAAGAAGAUCCGGCGGAAUAGGGCAAAGUGAGGUUUGAUCCCCAAAAAGGCUUCACAAGCAUGGACGAAAUUGGCGAUAUGCACUAUGGAAUUCGGGUUUAGGUGAUGCAAGCUGAUUCCAUAGAAAUUCAAGAUCCCGCGGAAAAAUUUUGAGGUCGGAAGAGCAAAGCCGCCGUAGAAGAAAUGCGAGAAGACCACAAUCUCAUGAGUAUCCGGAGACGGGAAAGCCUCACCGUGCGCUGGUCGCCACCCGAUGAUUUCCUUGGCAGGGAGAACGCCGUGCGCCACCAUCUCCUUAAGAUUCUCCUCCGUUACGUCGGAUGUCGCCCAUUGGCUUUCGAAGCUUUCUCCCUCUUCCGCCAUCGGUUUCACUCAAAUGUGCUGAUUUGAUUCGAGGGAUGGCUUGGGAGAGGUGAGGGAUUGAGGCGGUGGAUCACGAGAAGGAUUUUGAUGCACUUUUCGGAGGUGGAUUUGGUCGGAGUUGUGAACCCUAGUUCGCAGGCGCAGCUUUGCACUGUAGCAGGGAGUGGGGAAAAUGGCGAGAGUUCCGGCGGGGAAGACGAAGCGUCGCUUGGAUAUCGGAUUUUUCAGUUAAGGGUAUCGGAGGUGCUAAUGGGCCUAGGCCUGAACAGUACUUCAGCCCAAUACUUUUAACAGCGUGGCCCAUUGUGUUCCUUAGGGACUUAGGCAUAUUUUGCUUUGGCAAUAUUAUGCGCACAACAGUGUUGCCCAAUGCUGAUAAAAUCCUUUUUAUGCGGUCAUAUAAUUCUUUGGAAUUAUUGCAAUGCAAAUUAAAAAGGUGCCCGACAGAAAGGCGUUAUGCUGUUUUUGCAAGCUUUUUUAGGCUACAAAAACUGUUUGGGUUAACUAGGAAUGACUUGUUUUUAUUAUAGUCAUUUCCUUGGCGUCUUAUAUGCCUGUUUUUAUGGUAAAUAGUCAUGGCCUAGGCUAUUUGACUUAUUUAUUACCAUAAUCUUUAUAAUACUUGAUGAGUAAUCUUUAGAGUUUUUAUUCGGAUGCCUGUCAAGUGUGUUCAUUCGUGAACCUUUUAGAGUGUAAACCACUCGGAUUUCUUUUAUUGUGGCUAAAAAGCAGUCGGCUAGCAUGCCUAUUUAGGCGCCGCGUACGCUUUUGUCAUAUAAUGCACAAUUGUGUUAUUAUUUUGUCUUUCAACUAUAUGUUUAGUUUGUUAACUAAUCACAUAGUUGGGGGCUACACCUAAUUAGGUGCAUCUAUUCGAUGCACCAUAUUCUUUAUCUUUUCGCCCUUUACAGUCCACUCGGCAGAUUUUGGCUUGAAGAGUUUGAAGUACUCGGAUUAUCAUCUUUGAGAAGGCUACGAUGGUCGACUGCAAAGGACUCGGGGGCUACUGUGGAGAUCAUGGGUAUCCCAUAUCUACACGGCGAUGGUAUUCGAGCUGGGCACAGGAUACCUAAUGUAGAUAGAAUUUCUUAUUUGUAUCUUGGGUUUGUUUCUUAACUUGUGUAUCAAGGAAACACCCUGAAACUUAGUCGGUUACGACUGUAUCUUACCUAUAUUUUCAUAUUCCGUUAGGGAUAUAGAUUAUCUUUUGUAACCCGGACUCCUUCCCAUAUAUAAGGGGGGUCCGGGCGCCUCUAGGGGCAUAUGUUGAUUUUUCUCGAAUCAUACAAUCAAUAAUACACUCGGCGGAUUCAUCCCCGGACAGGAGUAGGGUAUUACUUCUUUUAUAAGAAGGCCUGAACCUGUAUAAAUCCUUUGUCUCAAAACCCAUACACUUUUCCAGCUUGAUAGCCACCCCCUUUUAUUAUUGCCGAAAUCUAGUUUCGACAACAGGUUUCAUCGCCCCGGCGAAAAGAGGAGGAAGAAGAAGAAGAAGAAAAACAAGAAGAAGCCCAAGCAGCACUACACGCCGCCGCCGCCGCCGCCGAACUACGAGGUGUUUCCGACCAUGGAGCCCGACGAUCCGGACUGGAUGCGGCAGAGCGUGAUGUACGCGGAGGCGGCGCUGGAGCACUACAACGCCGCCCUCGUCGUCGAGGGCGGCGGCGGCGGCGUCGUCAACGAGCUCGUCAGGGCCAUCAUCAGCGGCGUCAUCAUCACCUGCAGAGCCGACUACGGCCACGUCAACUUCAUAGCCAGGGCCGCCGCCAGUGGCGGCGGCACCUUGCGGCAGGAGGAGCGGCUCUUCUUCGCCGAGGUGCGUAACGACGGUGAAGGUUGGAUACCGACGUGCCUCCGGUCCCUGGACGACGAGGCCGACCGAGUUGGCGGCCUCGCCGCUGGCGACGACCCGCCGGUCGGCCGGUGGAAAUCCCGGAGAUCACCUCGCCGUCGCGGACGGACUUCUGCUUCAGCUGUAACGGCGAGAUUAAGCAUCCCAAGGACGGAGAAUCCUACCAUGCCGGACACUUCCUAUAGCUAGCUAGCUGAACCCUGAACAACUGAUGUAAUUACGAAUUUAAGAUCGAUACAAAAUUUUCAGUUGAUGUUAUUAGCAUAUCCCUGGAGGCAAUAAAAAAAUCCACAUAUUUUGGAAACUCUCUAUUAAGUGAAUUUAGUUUAUUUUUUGUUUUACAAAAAAUGUUUUACCUAUUGUACUCAUAAUGUUUCAUUAUGUAUAGAUCUAAUGUUGCAUUGAAUAAAAAUAUUCCAUUGCAAAAAAAAACCCAUAUAUUUUGAAAACCCCCUAUUUAGGGAAUUCGUUUUAUUUUUUGUUCCACCGAAAAAUGUUUCACCUAGUGUACUUAUAAUGUUUCACUAUGUAUGGAUCAACUGUUGCAGUUAACUGAAACAUUCUUUCGAUAUUUGUUGAAACAUUGUUUUUAUAUAAGGUGAAACAACACCCGAUCUAAACGAGUGAAACAUUUUCGAUCUACUUAGUGAAACAAUUCCGAUAUACCUGGUAGAACAUCGUGCAAUAUUUAAAAUUAUUCAAUAAUAAGCUAUUUUUUUCGUCGGAAUAUAUCCAUGUGUGGUCUUGUUUUUAAGAUUUAAUUGCAACGAAUUUAAUGGUGCAAUCGGAUCAUGAUUUGGAUAAGUAAUUUAAGAGAAAAAUAAGUUUAAAGUAGUUUUGCACGUAAAUCGGUGCUGACGUCAGCGCCCGAUUUUACUCCAAAUCGCUCGGGCGCCCGAGCCGUAGGCAACCCAAAAUUAUUUGCGCCACGCGCGUACGUGUACAAUGGUGUGGUACUAUGACAGUUGAUGUUUUUUCAAAAAUUUAUAUCCCAAUAGGUUCUAUGAAUAUCAUACUAUUUAUAAGAUUUUAUUUGAUUUUUUUCUUUUUUAUCAAUUCAGAUUUGAAUUUGGAUGAAACUCAUCGAAAUCUCAUACAGCUUACUACUUUCGAGCCUCAUCGAAAUCUCGAAAUUUCACUGUAUUUGACCGGUCUUUAUUGGAAUUAUGAACCCUGGUGCUGUGCUGUGUCGUCUGAGAAGCUGUUUUUACAGCAUUGUUUGGUGUAAAUUGAUAUCCCCUUCGUGACUCUGUCUGGAUAUGUUGCCUAUAUCUUUAAGGCUGAGUUCGUUUGUUGCAGUCAGAAAGUACUCAUUAGCAUAUAAUUAAUUAAGUAUUAGCUUUUUUUAAAAAAAUGUAUUAAUAUGGUUUUCUAAAGAAAUUUUCGUAUAGAAAUUUUUUUAAAAAAUACACUGUUUAAUAGUUUAAAAAGCGUGCAUGUGAAAAUUGGGGGAUGUGAGCUGAAAAAGGUAACAAACGAACAAAGUCGAUGAAUCUGUCCACGUCCCGUAUUAAGUUUGUUUAUUUUAGGUAAGGAUGUAAAUGUUUUGUUCAAGCAAUGGGCAUUUGAUCGGAAGAAAUGUCUUCACAGAUUUGUUCAGCCAAUAAAAAAAUAUUAUUAAACUCUCCUUACUGUGUAUGCUUGCUGAAAUCUCUCGUUGAAGAUUCCACGUGAGUAUACUCAAAGCUGAAAGGGACCCAAUCACAAACUCACAAUGCAUGAAGUACCACAUGUAAAUAAAAAUUAGCAUGGCCAAUUGCCAUUAUUUUUGUGUUCAAAUGUUCAAAGCCUGAGCUUCCCCGUCAUGUUAGAAGUCAGGCUUCUUUGGAAAUGGGGGAUGAAUAUGUGCAUGUGCAGCCGUUUAGGAUGGACCUAUGGACUGGUGAAGUACACUGAACUCAUUACCAUAUUGCAAAUCUUAUUUUACUGUCCAGAUUUACGGAUCCUGACAAGGACACGUCAUGCCACAGUGCCACUUGUGCAACAGGUUGGAAAUGUAUACACGAAUCAUUUGCCAACAUGGUACUUGCAUUGCAUAGUUUGGUCCAAGGAAACUGCCCAUUGACGCAAAAUAACUGGCAGACUGAAUUUAGUCUUAUCACCUUCGUAGUAGUAUAUAGAAUGUUAGAAUCUCACUUUUUUCUGCAAGUUUGGGCAGCUAGUUCCGAUAACAGCUUGCAUUGCUUGUCAUUUGAAAGAUCAGCUUGAAUGCGGCAACCACCAUGGAUGCAAUCUUCACCUCUCUGCUUCUCCUCACAUUGAUCCAUCUGCUUUUGUACUCCUCCUCAGCUCUUGAAUCCCUCUUGCCAGGCUCCCCUCUCUCUGUUGAACGCAGCUUGGAUCUGCUCUACUCACCAGAUCGUACUUUCACCUGUGGCUUCUACAAUAUCUCCCCCAAUGCCUCCACCUUCUCCAUCUGGUUCUCAAACUCCUCCGAGAAAACUGUUGUCUGGAGCGCAAAUCCUCUCCACCCUGUGUACACAUGGGAAUCAAAAUUUGAGUUGAAAUCCGAUGGCGGCAUGCUGUUGAAAGAUUAUAAUGGCCAGGUUGUGUGGACCAACAACGUGAGCUCUUCAAAUGCGGAGCAAGUUCAAGCUAAGCUCUUGAAUACUGGAAACCUCAUCGUGAAGAGCAAAGGUGACACCAUUCUAUGGGAAAGCUUUGCUUUUCCUACUGAUACCUUGCUACCCACUCAAAACAUUACUGCUCGAAUUAAGCUCAUAUCUACUAAUAGAUUACUUGCCCCUGGUCGCUUUAGUUUCCACUUUGAUGAUCAAUAUCUACUUUCGCUGUUUUAUGAUGAGAAGGAUCUCUCGUUGAUCUACUGGCCAGAUCCAACUCAGAAUAUCUGGGAGAAGCACAGAAAGCCGUUUAAUAGCACUGCAAACGGUGCUGUUGAUAGCCAGGGACAUUUUCUUGGAAGUGAUGAUGCAAACUUCACAGCUGCUGAUUUGGGUCCUAGGAUUAUGAGGAGAUUAACACUAGAUUAUGAUGGCAAUCUCAGGUUGUACAGUCUGAACGAUUCAAGCGGAACAUGGUCAGUCACAUGGAUGGCAUUUCCUCAGCUCUGCAAUGUACGUGGUGUGUGUGGUAUAAAUGGAAUAUGUGUGUAUAGGCCUGCGCCUACAUGUGUGUGUGCCCCUGGUUAUCAGUUCAGUGACCCAAGCGAUUGGAGCAAAGGCUGCAGCCCAAAGUUCAAUAUCACUAGAGAACAGAAAGUAAGGCUCCUUAGGCUCCCAAACACUGAUUUCUUAGGGAAUGAUAUAAGGGCUUAUCCUCAUGUUUCUUUGCACGAUUGCAAGAAGAUAUGCUUGAAUGACAGCAACUGUGUGGGGUUUGCAUACUGGCAAGGAAAAGGUUAUUGCUAUCCGAAGACUGCUCUUCUUAGUGGUGUAAGCUUAAUUGGUAGUACUGGUACCAUGUAUAUUAAGCUUCCUCAGGAAUUAAAAGUGUCGGAUCAUCAAGUCCCCCGUUCACAGCCUUUUGAUCAGAAAUAUGUCAAAUACUGUACUACAGUUGACAAAUAUUUUGUACCGGAUUUCUUGGAUAAGCUUAAGAGCGGUCAAAAUGAAUCGAAGUAUUGGUACUUCUAUGGUUUCUUGUCAGCAAUAUUUGUUGUAGAGGUAUUAUUCAUUAUAUUUGGAUCACUUAUUUUGCAAAGGGAGGACAAACAACUAAGAGAACUAGCUGAGGUUGGCUAUGAAAUGAUAACCAACCAUUUUCGCAGAUACACCUACAGAGAGUUGGUGACAGCUACUAGAAGGUUUCAGGAUGCAAUUGGACAAGGAGCAUCAGGCGUUGUAUACAAGGGGGUCUUGAAGGACAAGAGGGUAGUAGCUGUGAAAAAGUUGCUAGACAUAAACCAGGGGGAAGAAGAAUUUAAGCAUGAACUGAGUGUGAUUGGCAGGAUCUACCACAUGAAUCUAGUGAGGGUUUGGGGAUUUUGUUCUGAUGAUUCACACAGGAUAUUGGUUUCAGAAUACGUGGAGAACGGUUCAUUGGAUAAAAUAUUGUUUGACAGUCAGGAAUCACAAGCCUUACUAGAAUGGGAGCAAAGAUUUAAGAUUGCUCUAGGUGUGGCUAAGGGAUUGGCAUAUCUUCAUCACGAGUGCUUGGAGUGGGUCAUCCACUGUGACAUAAAACCUGAAAAUAUACUGCUUGAUGAGAAUUUGGAGCCAAAGAUAGCUGACUUUGGCCUUGCAAAGUUGCUACAUAGAGGAGGAUCCAAUUUAAACGUGUCACGGAUCCAAGGAACUAGAGGCUAUUUAGCGCCUGAAUGGGUUUCUAGUCUUCCGAUAACAGCAAAGGUUGAUGUCUACAGCUUUGGAGUGGUGCUUCUAGAACUACUAAAAGGAGCUCGUGUUUCGGACCUUGAAACAAACAAAGAUGAGGAGGUGGAAAUGGUUCUCGGAAGAAUCAUUAGAAUGCUAGCAGAGAAUCUAACGUCUGAUGGGGAUGAACAGUCAUGGAUUGCUGACUUCAUUGACGCCAGAUUAAACACUCGAUUCAACAACUUGCAAGCAAGAGUGAUGAUGGAGCUUGCAGUUUCAUGUCUGGAAGAAGACAGAGCCAGAAGACCCACCAUGGAAAGUGUGGUGGAGAUGCUUGUUUCUGUUGAUGAAGCCGGUUGAACAAUGUUGGAGUCUUCUAUUUCUGGGUGAAGAGAUCUGUCGUUUGACUGUGUGGUAAAUUUUCUCGCAAGAUAUCAUCUACUAUACUACUAUAAAUGUGUCCAAGCCAGUGAAUGUAUCAUUUUAUUAAUUAUUAUGUACUACAUACACAAUGUGUUGUUUUAGAAAUAACAGUACUGGAACUAAAGUGCAAUAUUUUGUUGCAAUAAUGCCAACUAUGACUGAAGAGUGGAUCAGAUCAGGCAGUUUCCAUUGGUCUCCCGUGUCCUCCUAUUGAUAAAAGCUAAAUUAUAGUGCUGAUAUUUGCAUAGCAUCUUGGCAUACAAUAUAGUUCUAGCCUGGUACGCUACGCUUAUCCAUAGCUCGUUCCCUUGGCAGAUUUGGGACUCGUUUUGAGCUCUUCACAGCGCCAGCACAGCUGCUGCUGUGAUUCAACUUCAUUCAGGAUCGGAUGAGUCGCGGCAUCAGAUUUUGGCAUCAAUUUUUCAGUUGGAAGUUUAACCGGACGAAUGCCCGCACUCCCCAUGUCGACGAUCCCCUUUCUACACCCAAACAAACCUAAAUGACCUCGUGCGGGACACAGGGACAGAGAGAGAGGGAGCAAGUAUUCCUCACACCAGCGCCAGUGGAGAUUCGGAGAUGGAUCCUGCGCUGCGCCGCACCGCGGGCGCCUCCAGCUGCCCACCGAUGCGCGUCGCCGGCGCGCGGCGGGAGGGCGACGGCCGACGGCGACGAGGCCACGAGGCGGCGCAGGGAGCGACAUGCUGUGGGAAUAAGUUCAUUCUAGGUCCCUUAACUUGACACUGAAUCUGAUUUUCGUCCUCGAACCGAAAAACCAGAUACAUCACAUCCUCCAACUAAGCCUGCCAAUGGGUUGGCAUCCACCCCGAAUCCAACCCAACCCAAAGUGACUAUAGCAAAAUUGUCACUCCAAUCCAUACCAAGAAUUCCUUGAGCUAACCCCACCCAACCCAACCCACAAAGUUGCUCAGUCCAGAUUCAACACAAUCCACGGGUGGAAUCCAUUUUCCAACCCAUACCCAAUCCACGGCAGGAAGCAGAGCAGAGCAGAGCAGCCGGCGAACACUCACGCUGCAUACAGCUACUAGCAUACUUACAAAUAACAUAAGCAAGAUGCAAAAAUAAUCAAUCAACACUACUAGCAUACUUAGAACUUUUGAUGCUUUAAGUAGUGCCAUCCAACAAGUUUUGGCAACUAAAUAUUACAAUUAUCACUAGAGAUUCUACUAGAGCAACAGGCUCAAGAGAAAAUCUCUAACAAAAAAAGCUAUCAAGCAUUACAAGCCUCAGAACCAUGUAUAACUGAACACCAAUAAUUUCUUCAUGUCUCAAUCUUUAGAUUACCUUCUAAGAUAACCAAAACCAAAAACCCUUCCAAUUCUCAGCCACACAUUCUUGCAGAUGACAGUAACCUGAAAGAAGUAGAUGUCAUCAAAAAUUUAUAUCCAGGAAUAACUAGAAAAUUGUGAGUUCGUUGCUUAAGAAAGCAAAUAUACAAAAUUACAAUAACAAUUUAAAUAAUGUGACCUUUGCAGUGUUAUCAAAACAAUGUGCCAAAUUGAUUCAAUUGGUAAAUAAUGAAUAGUAACAUUUUAUAUACAAACAGAAUAGGCAACAAAGUGGUAAACUCAAUUUUGGAAAAAUGCAGGUUCAAGAGAAGUAUUCCAUUCCAAAUUUCCAAUACGCCAAAGGAAAAGUUGAAUUUAAAGUUGCAUAUAUGUAUAUGGAAAGUCACCUUUCCAUCUUCUUCACUUCACCACCUGAAUAAAUCAGGACAAAUUUCCACCUGUAAAUGAUAUAUGAUCACUACUUCAUGAUUGAAAUACACAGAACAUUUAUGGAGGAAUCAUUUAUCACUAUUAUACCUUCAGCACCUGGAAUAUUGAUCAAAGGAUCGUUGGCUUUAAUUAACCAAUCUUUCGCACAAAUGAGAGCUUCAAGCAUUUCAGGUGUUAACGAACUUCGUGUGUCACCAAGUAUCCUGCCCCCACAACUGAAUGCUGAUUCGGAAGAUACAGUGCUGAGGGGUAUUGCUAGGAAAUCUCUGGCCAUAGAUGACAAUACUGGGAAUUUUUGAGCAUGUCUCUUCCACCAGUCCAAAACAUCGAAACUCUCACUAUCCUCCUCAACAUCUUCUUCUAAAUAUAUGGCAAAUUCUGAUUUCGUUUGCCGUGCAGUUCUCCUUCGAGACUUGUAUAAAGCAAACUCUUCCUCGAGUUUUCUUUUCCCAAGAACAGGUGAUCCAACACUGUUGCUGCCUUCACAAGAAUGUGAAAGCAUGUGUUCAUCAUUUCUUCUUACAAACCCUUCGUAUUUUUCAUAAUAAUCCUUCAACCAAUCUUCAGCAGAACCCACUUUUUUGACAAUCUCUGUCACACUGUUAGAUGUUUUCUCAUAAAAGAAAUUCAAAUAAUCUCCUUUUCUUCUUGGAUCUAACAUUGUGGCAAUGACAAGUGCAGAGUUAAACCCACUGUCCCAAUAUUUGACAAACUUUGAGAGCAUAGCUGCAGCCAAUACCUUUAAAAUAUCACUAGUCUGCCAAUCAGGGUCAUUCAAUGCAUGACGAAUUUGUAGCACCAAGGGCAAGAACCUAUGUGCUGUUGGUUUCCUAUCUGCUGACACCGAUAAUGUAGCUUCUUCAAAAGCUUUAAGAAAAGCACAAAUUGAUUCAACUUUCUGCCAUUCUAGUUCAGUAGGUGCAACUUCACCAUGUUGAUUUGCAUAGCUAUCCAGGACAGAUAUGUACAUUAAUCCUUCUACAAUCAUUUUAUAGGUGGAAUUCCAUCUAGUCGGUGUAUCAAAAGAAAAACUCAACUUCGAAGGAAGAUUUUUCGAGUUUGCCAUAGAAUUGAAAUCUUGCAUUCUUGAUACUGAAGAAUCUAAAUGCUUCAACAACUCACGUAGCUUGUGUAUUAUAGGUUUAAUUAUCUUCAUACCAUCCUGAACCAAAAUAUUUAGGAUAUGGGCACAACAUCUAACAUGCAAAUGCUGACCCUCAAACAUCAAUGCAUUCUUGUGAUUCUUUAUCAACUCUUGACAUGCAGAAUUGUUAUUACUGGCAUUAUCUAAAGUUAUAGUAAACAGUUUGCUCUAAUGCCUCAAUAUGUCAAGCAACUCAUUAUAGCUUCUUCAAUGGCGAAUCCCGUGUGGGGAUACUUCAAUUCCUUAAAGCUUAUAAUUUUCUUCUUAAUGUUAAACUCUCUAUCAAUAUAGUGUGCUGUGACAACCAUGUAGCCUAUAUUUUGAAUUGAAGUCCACAUAUCGGAUGUUAGACAUACGUGCGAAUCAAGAUUAUGUAAUUCAGCAUGCAAGUCUUCCCUCAUUCGCUCAUACAAGUUAAAGGCAUCAUCACGAAGUGUUUGACGCCCCACAACUUUGAAAGUUGGCUGCAUGGACUCCACCCACUCCAAAAAAUAAGGAUCCUCAAUUUUCUUGAAUGGCACCUCUGCAUGAAUGAAGAAUCUGACCAUUAGCUCCCGGCUUCUCUUGGGAACAAACACGAAACCUUCCCCAGUCUGUUUCUUAAUUGUUGCAAGGAAGUUGAUUCUAGCAUCACCAUCAAUAGCUGGACAUGAUUCGGCUAUGUGAUUAAUAAGGUGACUUGUUCCUGACUUUUUGGUGGCUGUCAAUCUUAAGCUACAAUAUUUGCAUUGAGUCUUGGGGACACCAUCUAUCAUUACAACCUCUUGCUGAAAGUGUUCCCAUACUUUAGCUCUCUUACGUGUUCUUGAAGAUUGAUUAUUAUUUGGACUAUUAGUACCUGAACUCUCUGACAUUUGUAUGGACAUAUUUAUUAUUGAGUUUGUUCAAUUGUCUGCAUAGAGGAAGAAAUCUAAAAUCAAGAUAGUUGAAAGAACAUGGUCUAUAAUUAUUUUUUUCACACAUUGUACAUGUGCUACAAUCUAAAAAUUGCACACUAAAAUUCGAUUGACCAUAGAAUUAAUUUGCAUCUCAAAAUCAUAUCAGGACUCAAUCUGUAAUGAUAUGUUAAAUAAUUUGCAUUGGGAGAUGAAGGGAACCUGCAUUCACUAUACCUCCUUAUCUUCUUCUUGAAAUCUUGGAACUCCUGCACAUAAACCCAUCGAAGAUUGUAAUCUUGAGCAAGUUAACUCCUCAGUAAAACCAACAAAAAAAACAAAAUCUUAUAGAAACUAUCACACCAAUCACACUGUUCACAUACGUCGUGGUACUUGGGCUUCUUAGGGAGAUUGGCGACGCGGCCGGACCGCCAGAGGAGGACAUCCUCGCCAGCGCCCGGCGGCGCACGCACCUUCCUCUUCUUCUGCUUCACCUGUACCCGCAACCACCAAGAUCAGGAAGAGACCCAAAAAAAAACACAAACAAAACAACCAGGAUAUAUCAAAGACCGAGAAAAACCAGGGAAAAAGAAAAGCAAUGGUGGUGGGGGAGGGAAUCUGACCGGCGACGGCUUGGCGGCGGAUUCGCGGACGGUGGCGGAGAGGUGGAGGAGGCGAAGCAAGGGGAGGGAGCGGCAGCGGCGGAAGGAGUGGAGCCGUGGACGACUGAUGACGCUAGGUUUGGACUUUGGAGAGUACUGGACUGUCUAGUGCAUCCAAAGAAAUCCAUGGACUGAAUCCAAUUUGGAUCCAAAAAUCAGAAACCAAAAACCAAUCCAAUCCAAACCGUUUCCACCUCCACCCUAACCAGUCCAGCCCAUUAAACUCCUCAAUCCAUUUCCAUCCAUCCAAACUACACCCAAAGCUGAAACCAAUCCAUUGGGCCCAUUUCAAUCUAGCCCAUUGGCAGGCUUACCUCCAACUUAUAAAAUCAGUACAAAUGAAGUCCCUCGGCGAUAUUGAACCUGGUUUUGGCUGACGUGUCGUCGACAUGGCUUAUUUGACUAAGUCUUCGUACCACGUGGCAAUGAUGUGGCGCUUAAGUGGCAAUCUAAUCUAAAAAAUAAUAAAAACUGUGGGACCCACAAAUCAGGCACAUACAAAAUAAUAAAAAAUGUGGGACCACGCGGGACCCACAUGAUGGGGUCAUUCUUCUGUGUUCGCAACCGGAAAUCCCCAAUUCACCGGCGGAUACGACGCAUCUAGCCGGGGGCUCGCCGGCGAGAAGCAAAUCGACACCGCCGCCAGAAUGUGUAACGGAAUCAGCUCGUGCAGGUAAGACGAGCGGGCGGUUUUCCGGCGGCCGCUGCCAUCGUUCGGGCUCGAGCGGAGGGCCGCAUGUCGGGCCACGCGGGCUUCUCUCCGUCGGGCGCCACCCUUCUCUCCAUCCUCUCUCUCUCUCAGUUGCUUGGCGGUGGAGCGGGGCGGUCGGAGCAGGCGACGGGCGGGGCAGAGCGAGGUGGGCGGCGGCGUCCGGAGCAGAGCGGCACAGCCGCACAGGCGAGGAGCAAGGCGGCGGAGGACGACGACAGCGCCGACGCCGUGGAUAACACUAAGUCGGGGUUCUUCGGCACGCAGUCUUCGUCGUCGCGCCUCGCGGCGAGGCCCGUGCCUGUCCCGGCGGCCCCAUAGCUCGGCGUCGGGGUGGCGGUGGACGCAUUGGUGGUCGGCGAGGACGGGCGGCCGAGAUGGCAAGCUCGAGCUCGCCGGCUCCCCUCUCCUCUCCCUCGCCUCUGUCCUCUCCUCAUCGGCUGCCGCUUGCCGCGGACGGGUUCGCUACCUCCUCCUCGCGAACCUCCGACUGCCACAGCCGCCUCUUCUCCGCCGCCGCGGAACGCCGUGGCUCCCUACUCACCGGUCACCUCCCAAUGCUGCUGCAGAGGCGGCACAGGGGGAGGAGGAUGGAGGCGGUGGGCCGGCGAGGGCCGGGGGAGGAAGGGAGAGAAAGGCGGCGGUUCGGAGGUGGAGUGCGGCGGUGGCGCGCGAGGUCGCCGAGGGCGCCGCCGGCUGCCCGCCUCGCUCGCCUGCGGGAAGAGGGUGAGGAUGAAGAGGGGAGAGGAAAGAAGGUAUAAGGCUGACAUGUGGGGCCCACGUGGGCCCCACCAUUUUUAUUUAAUUUUUGUGUGUGGCUGGCGUAUGGGGCCACGAUUUUUAUUAUUUUUCAAGUAUCGAAUUGCCACAUAAGCGCCACAUCAUAUGCCACGUGUGACGAAGAUCAAGUCAAACUAGCCACGUUGGCGCCACGUCAGCCAAAACCGCCUUCUAAACCGCCAGGGACUUUAUUUGCACCGGUUUUAAUAGGGACCGAUUGUAUCUGUUUUUUGGGUUCAAGGAUAAAAAUCGAAUUCGGUGUAAAAUUAAGGGGCCUAGAAUGAACUUAUUCCACAUGCUGUGUGACCCCGUACGUCGUGGUGGGCCGUCGUGCGGAAGCAGAGCAGCUUGGCGGGCUAUGGGUGAAACCGCUAGCUGGGCCAAUGAGUGAUUGGGCCUUGAUCUAACAUGGGUGUAAUGACGGGCUUAUUUUUGUGGAAGUUCACCAUACAUCCCUCAACUUUACACCGAGAGGCUGAUCGCUUGUGGUUGCGCUGCAGCAGCAACCAAGGAAAAAGUACACCAGAGGUCCCUCAUCUUGUCAUCAGAUUACGAAUCAUCUACCAAUCACAAAACCAGAUAUAUGCCAUCCCUCAACUUACAAAAUCGGAUCACUUUGGAUCCUUAGGCGGUUUUAACCCUGGUUUUAUCUGACGUGGCAGCUGAGUCAGCAUGGGACCCACAUAUCAGGGCGACCAUGUCAUCUCUUUCCCCUCUUCUCUCUAUUCCUCCUCUCUCACUUUUCUCCUCAUCUGGGGCAGGCCGGCCGGUGGGUGGGGAGGAGGCCAGCGAGCUGAGGCGGGAGAGGAGGUCCGACAGCUUUCGACCGACGACGGGUGACGCGGACGACGACGCUGGAGCAAGAGGACCGACCCCCAUGGCGGUGGGUGACGCAGCGACGGCAGUGUCCACGCUCUCCUGUCGCGCUCCCCGUCCCCGCCGCUCGUCGGAGGUGAUGGCGCGCCAUGGCGGCGUCGGGGCAGAUGCUACCGCGGCCGUCGCCAGAACCACCCAGCCGACAGGCAUCUCCCGUCGCAGAGGACGACAUGAACACCAUCAAGGCCCUUCCGGCGCCGAGGAGCCGGUUCCGGUGCAAGAGGAGCAGAACGCCGGGGACAGGGGCGGUACCACCCAUUAGGCGGGGUUGGGCGGCCGGCCCAGCUACGGCCCGCGCCGCCCCAACCCUCCAUAUCAUUUUUGAGCCGCCCCAACCCUCCAUAUCACAAUUGGCCCAUAAAUAAGCAGCCCAAGUGUCCAAUUUUAAUCCUGCGUAUGUGAUGCUUUCCCGACUCAAUUCCUCAACAUUGCUCACCCCCGUCCCCUACUAUAGGGCCUAAUGUUUUUCUCUCUCUCCCUUCUAAUCUAAGCAAAAUAAUAAUCAUCUUAUUCUGGGUAUGCGAUAUCUUCUCAUAUAUUUACUUUUUAAAAGAUAUCUAUCAACCAUGCUUUAUGAAUUAACUCAUAUUUGCAAAUUGAUAUGUUUACUAGUAUAUUUUUAUGUAUGAUGAAUUAUGUAUGGCGCAAAAAUUAUUACUCUAUUUUAAUAUCAUUUUUGUUUUUUGUUUGCCUUAAUUUAUUGAUUAUACUAUAUGUUUAUAUGAUUACAAUAUAAAUAUGGUAUUUUUUUGUGUUUAGUUGUUCUUAUUGAGAUGAGCAUCUUCACCUCAUUUUUAUUUUAAUCCUGCGUCCACCACUGUAGACUGGCCGGGGAGACGGUGCCUGCUGAGCCGGAGGUGCCCCCGCUCAUCUCCCGACGGCGACCCGACUUCCUGAACUUGAACGGAGAUGCCAUGUCCGACGAAGAGCACGGGCAGCAGGCAGCAGCUGGCGCUCGCCCUGUUCACGACGAAGAGCACGGGCAGCAGGCAACCCAGCCGGGUCGGCGCCAAUGCACGACGCGUCCGACCCCUCGUCGACGGACCGGGAGACGGCGCUUGUCCAGUCCGCGACCUCAGCAUGCUGGUGCUCGACGGGAUGUACAGCCACUCGACGGCGGAGUCGACGGCCGCGAACGCGCAUGCGUUCUACGGCAGCGCAAGCAGCGUGGCGUUGCGGCUGCCUCAUCAUAGGACCAAGGGGAUAGAGAUUAGUAACCUUAUCGAGGCGGAAUUCAAAGCAGAACGAACCCUGGAAGCCUCGCCUAGUCGCCUGCAUGCAUGCUCUGGAGCUCCCUGAAGGCUAGAACAUAGAAUACAAAUCGAGAUGGAGAGGCCGUCUCGAUCAGACGAAAAUCACAACAAUUUUGCUAGAAGACUACUGUAUUUCUUUUCUUAUUUUGUCCUGUCCCUCUACCGCCAUCGAUCUAGCCUGAAUUUCUCACGAGGAUGCGCCAGUAUCCCGCGCUCCUCCUUGAUUUUUCUCGGAUUUUUGGGAUGUGUUUUGAUCGAGAAGAAAUAGGACGAGAUAGAGUGCGUGAAGUCCCGGAACGGGAUCGCCGCCGACGUGCGGGCCAGGGCCUACGCAUGAUGGUGCUCGACAGGAUGUACAGCCACGCGAUGGUGGCGUCGACGGCCGCGAACGAGCAGGCGUUCUCUGGCAGCGCGAGCAACGUGGCAAUGCCGCUGCCGGGGCGCCGAUGCUUGUGGUGCCCGCGCCACCCGGAACCAGCGGCAGCGGCGCCACGACGGCAUGCAUCGUCGACCCCUUCGUGGCGGACGACAAGGAGAAGAGUGGGAGGAAGGGAGAGAAGAGGGGAAAGAGAGAUGAUGACAUGGACACCCUGACAUGUGGGGUCCACGUGGGUCCCACAAUGAUUCAGCUGUCACAUCGGUUAAAACCGUCAAAGGACUUAGAGUGAACCGGUUUUGUAUUUUGAGAGAUGUUAUAUACCUGGUUUUGUGGUUGGGAAAUGAUUUUGUAAUCCGAUGACGAGAUGAGGGACUUCGUAUAUACUUUUUCCUAACAACCAACAAGCAGCUGCUCUUUGCAGCAGUGUGCACAUUCAAAACAUAACAGUUGCUGUAGAAUUUUGGGUUGCAGCCGAUCGUCUAGGCUGGACAGCUGCAGUCCAAAACGCCGCAGCCAACUGAACCGAUCAGGCCCCGAGUCUCUUUUAGGUCCCCUAACCACAAUACCAGAAAUGUGUACCCCCAAACUAUGUAAAACCGUCUAAAAAAAGGUCCCGACAUAGUAUAGAUGUCUGGUUUCGUUGACAGGGUAUCCUAGUCAGCAAAAAUAACUAAAAUAAAUAUGUAGGCCCACAUAUAAGUGAGAGAAAAUGGUGUGGGCCCCACAUCUCUCCUUUCUUAUUUUUCCUCUUCUCUCCUGAUUCUAUCGAGUUGGCGUGGUGACAGAGGGGAGAGAGGCGGCCAGCGGCGGAGCGGAGGCGGCGGGAGAGGGGGAGAGAGGCGGCCAACGGCGGGAGAGGGAGAGAGAAGAGGCCGACGCGAUGGCAGUGGCGGGAGAGGAGGAGAGGUGGCGGCCGGCGCGACGACGACGACAGGAGAGGAGGAGCGCGUGUCGCACCGGCAGGGGAGAGGAGCAGCGCAGCGGGCACGGAUGAGCGCCAGAUACGGCCGGCGGCAGAUGUUACCUCCCUCUUUCUUGCCCGCGCACGACUGUCGUGGUUGUCGACGGUGGCUACUGUCGACGACCGGCAAGGAGGGAGCUCCAACGUCAACGAACGCCGCUUUAAGGAGGAGGCACGAGAAGCAGAGAGGAAGGAGAUGGGGAGGCCGGCGAGCAGGCGGUGAUGCAAGACAUGUAAAAUGUUACCACUGGACGAAUGAUGGAAGAACAAUGGUAAAUGUCAGAUUCAAUUUAGGUUUUUUGCUCCUGUCGAGUCACUACUCACAUUCAGAUGAUGUGGCUGUUAGAGACCCACUCAACAAUGUAAUUUCAGAAAUAGCAGUGCCAAAUCUAAUACAGGGAACAACCAAGUCUGUUACAAUAGUGGAGUGGUUCUGAGGUGGAAGAUGGAAGGAUACAAGGGCUAGAAGGCUCUAGUAGCUUCUAGACUAGUAGAGAAGAAGGGAGAUAGACGAGAGAUCGACAAAGAGGCCAGCCAGCCUCCAGGUCACCGCCGCCGCCAUUUGCCGCCUUGGCCAAAUGAAUCUGUUCGAUCCAUCUCCUAUAAGCUGCUGCUGCUCAUAUAAUUUUCAGCUUGGCCUUGCUUGGGCUUCUUGGCGAUGGGCUGACCAGCCCGUGGUGCAGCCAGCGGCCCAUGUGCAGCCCACCCGAGUCCUUGACAAUCCCCUCUUCUUGAAAUUUGGCUUGUCCCCAAGCCGAUGAAGAAAACCUCCUGGAUCCCAUGGUACCUGUAGCUCUUGUAUUUCCUUGGAAUUGCUCAGCUGUAGCUUGAUAACUUGCUCUAUAUUUGUCUGUCUUGUACUGAAUGUCUCACAUUGCAGCAAUUGUUCUAUCUUGACAUCACCUAGUAACAAGUGGCGUAUUGGGCACCCCUCUUUUAUGACCUCGAAUAAUUUAACAGACCAAUAAUCCCUGUUUGCAAUUGAUGCAUAUAUCAUCUCUGAAUCUGUCCUGGUAUCAAUCCCAUCAAUGGAAAACCUUGCUGCAGCACUACCAUCACUAGGAUUAUUCUCACAGAAAUCAAAAAUGGAAUCAUAACUACAUGUCUUAACCUUCCUAUUCUGAUUCUCACCAGCACCUCUAGCAAUAAUCUCAGAAAUCCUUCUGACCCCAAAAUGUACCCCCACUGGACAGUUAAACAACUGACCAUUGUAUAAUAUGUUUGUUGGGUUCUGUAGCCAGCUCUCAACAUGAUUAAGUGUCAUGCGCAUGGACUUACAAAUUUUGUAAGUUCUUCCCUUAGCUAUAUCAUUUAACCCUUCUCUAGCCUCCAACCAACAAGCUCCAUAUAUAUAUUUUGAGUAGAUGUUGUUGUCAUUGUAGCAGCAGGAAUGAUCAAGUAGUUGCAGUUUACUGUAAUUAGGCCAUAUAACAUUCCCUCUAUAACUUUUUCCUCACCACCCACAUAAUGGAACUGUUCCAAGUUAAAUAUUGCCACCAAUGUAUCCUUAUGAGCUCGAUCAGAUUUUUCAUGAUUUAAAUCUCCUUUAGGUGCACAAUAUAGUGCAACAGAAGGUGUUUGGUCUCUUAUGCAAUUUGCACUGCAAAAAUCAUAUCCCAUCAAAUGUGCAAAAACUGGUGCAGGCUAUGGGACUUGCUCAGUUCACAUCACGCCUCCGCUAUAUUGACUUGGUUGUGGGUCAGGCCACGGUUUCAGCUCUACUUCCGUCAACCAUGUGUUUACCAGCAGCCAAAGUAUUAUGGUUCCAAUUUGAGUUGGUGGUGGCCAUGGUGGCAUGAAAUAAAAUAUUAUCCCCAAAUAAUUGCCCGCAGCCCAAGGCACAUACCACUCCUUCCAUCUUCUAACCACUCUACCUGAGCAAGGAGGUGGCCAUGGGUUUCUCUUGGGAUGACUCAUCAACAGCUUCUUGUAGCCCUUGGAGCAUUUGGUCGAACACCUGUUGAGCGCCACCCAUUUUAGGCAGAAAUUGGAGUUAAGCUUUUGUGCCAUGACUAGUGUGGCCUUUCCCGAGGAUGCUAUUCCUUCUGGCGCGCCAAGCAAUAGUGAGUACGCAACCCCAGCCUGGAUAGUACCGGUGUUGACGUUGGGGCCCAACAUCAAAUGGCUUGGGUGCAUCACCUUGGGAAGGUGAGUGGUGUCAGUGCAGGUUGCUUUCUCGUCAACCAUCAACUCCAUGGACUGACUUGAUAUCGGAACGACCUUGAACACACCCAUCCUACUUUGGAACACAAUCACACCUCUAUCAGUGACACCGUUGACAUCGGGGCCAAACAACAAACACUUGGUGUGCGUCUCCUUGGAACAAACACGGGGGUCAAUGUUGGUGGUGCCGGUUGCACCAUCGGUGGCUACCAACUCCUUGGAGUCCAUGGCAGUGUUGGAGCAUGUAACCACCGCAGCCACGGUGAAAUCAGGCUCGACGUCGAGGCUUGAGCAUAUUGUCAAACACAUGAUAGGCGUCAACUCGGAAAGGUCCUUGCUAAUGAUGAAGGGCAUGCGAUCCUUCCCCUCACCAUCCCCAAGCUCCAGGAUGAUCGUCGGAGUAGCCCCCUCGUCGUCGUAGAUGGAUCUCGCUGUUGUGCUCGGGCUGCUGCCAUUGGGGCACUCCAUUGAACAGGUGGUGGGCGUCACCUUGGACUGCUCAUCCUCAACCAAAAACUGAAGGUCUUCAGCUUUCUUCUAUUCUUGGGGCAUCCACGAGUCUAUUGUUGCCUUGAGAGACAGGAAAUCUGCUCUCCUUCUUUGGUCUGCCUCCUCCCGCCUUCGCUCGCACUCUUCGAGCAUCCUUAAAAGCAUGUUAAACUUGUCCUCACUUCCCAUGGCAGCUUGCUUGAUGAGCUUGGUGGGGAUUGGCUCUGAUACCAAAUUGUUAGAGACCCACUCAACAAUGUAAUUUCAGAAAUAGCAGUGCCAAAUCCAACACAGGGAACAACCAAGUCUGUUACAAUAGUGGAGUGGUUCUGAGGUGGAAGAUGGAAGGAUACAAGGGCUAGAAGGUUCUAGUAGCUUCUAGACUAGUAGAGAAGAAGGGAGAUAGAGGAGAGAUCGACAAAGAGGCCAGCCAGCCUCUAGGUCGCCGCCGCCGUCGUUCGCCGCCUUGGCCAAAUGAAUCUGUUCGAUCCAUCUCCUGUAAGCUGCUGCUGCUCAUAUAAUUUUCAGCUUGGCCUUGCUUGGGCUUCUUGGCGAUGGGCUGACCAGCCCGUGGUGCAGCCAGCGGCCCAUGUGCAGCCCACUCGAGUCCCUGACAGUGGCUGCGACGAGGGCACAAUGCCCAGCUGCCGCUGCUGCUGCUGAUAAUGAUACAUGCUCCCGUUCGCCUCCUGCAGGAGAUCGCCAUUGAAGAGGCUGCCAAAGCCAAAGCUCUGCGGCGUUUCUUCUCCCGUGGCCAUGAAUCGGACACCUGCCGCGGCGUAGGACGCCGGCAACACAUGCUGCUGCUCUCCGAUGAGGAAGCCUCCUCCUGCAGGUAGGGGGGCGAAAUGCUCGCUCCCACUGCUGUUGUUGAAGCUGCUGUUGCAGAUGACCGGGUUGGGGGAGGGGGAGGGCGGGCGCUGUGUCGGUAAGCGGCAUGGAGGAGCGCACCGAGCAUCGUGGCGCUAUCGUCCAUCACGGCAAAGCCGAGGCUGAGGCCGUCGCUAUGGCGCAGCAGCUCGGCCUCUGCGUGCCAGUCCUCUCGUCUCUCCUGCCGCCACGCCACGCGCUGCUCCUCUCCUUCGCCGCUGAGCUCACUGUUGCGCCGUCCGUCUCUCCGCUGCCCCUGCUCCACUGCUGGCCACCUCUCCCCCAUCUGCCACAAUGCCCGCUCGAGAGAAGCGGAGAGAAGAGAGGGCCCACACUAUUUUCUCUCACUUACAUAUGAGCCCCACAUAUUUAUUUUAAUUGUUUUUGCUGACUAGGAUGCCACGUCAGCAAAAUCAGGCAUCUAUACUGCCUCGGGACCUUUUUUGGAUGGUUUUAUAUAGUUUAGGGGUACACAUUUCGGAUAUUGUGGUUAGGGGACCUCAAACAGACUCGGCAUAAAGUUGAGGGACGGCCGGUGAACUUAUUACUUUAGCCUUUCUUUCAUUUCUUUUGCCUUUUUUCCUUUUUCUUAAAAAAAAUUGUUUCCCCACUGUAUUUACAAAUUAACCGUUGGUCAUCCACAGACCUUCCAAUGUAGGACGAGGAGGCCGGCGGUGCUCCGACAGAGAGGAGGAAGGAGGAAGAAGAGCUCCGCAAUGCCAAGGCGAAGGCGAACCUCAAGGCCAGCGGCAUCGCCGUCGUCUUCGGCUUCACCGUGCUGACCGCCUCGCUCUGCCUCCCCACCGAGGCGAAGCACGCGAGCAACACGCGCUUCAUUGUCUCACUCCUGUUGGCAUUCGCCACGUCCGUCAGGCGUCAGCGGGAGCUGCCUCGUUUUCCUCAGCUUGACCAUGAUUGGGCUUCCCCAACGGCUCGUCUCCGGCGUCCAGCGCGGUGCCUCCAAGUGCCUCGUAGCCGUGACGGGGAAAUUAUUUUAAUCUCUCGAGGAGAUAUCUUUUUGUUGUUUGCAUGUCACUAAAAUGGUUAUAAAAAAAUUAAAAAUAAUUGAGAAGGUGUAUUAAUAUGCGAUAUAACACUUCACAAAUAUGCAAGUUUAAAUUCAACUUCUACAUGACUUAAUCUCUAUCGGGCAUUAACUAAAGCCCGUCAUCGAUGAGUAUUUUCUCAUUUUUCAUAUGAAAUGUUUAUAUUUGUAAGUUGAACUAUAGCAAAAUAAUUAACUUGCAGUAUAAUAAUUCAAUUUAUGAGUCAAAAUAAUUUUACGUAUAGUAAAUGAUAUCAAAUGGAAAAGUCAUCAACAACAAAGUUGUACAACUCAUCAAGAUCUAUAACUUUUAUUUUGGUCAUUUUUCUAUAUAACAAUUUUUGAACAGUUUGAAUUUUGAAUUUGAAAAUAUGACAACUUCAAACAACAUUUUCAAAUACUAAAUGAUUUCAACUAAAAAAGUUAUCAAUAACAAAGUUGAAUAAUUCAUCAACAUCUAUAACUUUUAUUUUGGUUAUUUUUCUAUAUAACAAUUUUUGAACCGUUUGAAUUUGAAUUUAAAAAUAUGACAGCUUCAAAUAACAUUUUUAAACACUAAAUGAUUUCAACUGAAAAAGUUAUCAACAACAAAGUUGAAUAACUCAUCAAGAUCUAAAACUUUUAUUUUGGUCAUUUCUUCAUCUGAUAAAAUAUUAGUAACAUUGUUCACAAAUUUUACAUAUAUGUGUUAUAGUUUAUAAAAUUAGAUAAGAGAUAUGUCAAUUUUGUGAACAAUAUUAUUAUCACUUUAUCAGAUGAAGAAAUGACCAAAAUAAAAGUUUUAGAUCUUGAUGAGUUAUUCAACUUUGUUGUUGAUAACGUUUUCAGUUGAAAUUAUUUAGUAUUUGAAAAUGUUGUUUGAAGUUGUCAUAUUUUCAAAUUCAAAUUUAAACGGUUCAAAAAAUAUUAUAUAGAAAAAUGACCAAAAUAAAAGUUAUAGAUCUUGAUGAGUUAUACAACUUUGUUAUUGAUGACAUUUUCAGUUGAAGUCGUUCACUAACAAAAAAUUCUGUUUGAAUUUCUCAAACUUUGAAUUUCAAAUUUCAAAUUGUUUAAAUAGAGUCGGAUGGAGAAAUGACCAAAAUAAAAAUUUUGCAUCUCGAUGAGCUCUACAACUUUGGUUUUGGUGACUUUUCCAUUUGAAAUUAUUUAUUAACCCUAAUUUUUGUUCCAAGUUGUCAAAUUUUGAAAAUUCAAAAUCUGAAUUAUUCAAAUGAACUUAUUUGUACAAAGGACCGAUACAAUAGUUGUAGAUCUCGGUGAGUUAUACAAUUUUGUUGUUUAGGAUUUUUGAUGGUUGUGUAUGUGAAUGAAUGUAUAUGAAUGAGGGAUGUUGGGGUGUGACGUCCUAGCCUAGGGCUUAAUAGGAUUAAUAGAAUACUCAUACCGACAAGUUACAACUUCUCUUCCGGAAGCUGAUCUCCAAAGAACUUUGAUGUUAAGCGUGCUUGGCGGCCUGAGAGAGGCUAGACGGCAUGCCUAAAAAUAAAAUUUAUUUUUUUUGGGAUUAUACUCAUCUGUGACUGGCAUUAACUUAGGCCCGAUUGAGAUGACUCAUCUGUGACGGGCAUUAACUUAGGCCCGAUUGAGAUGACUCAUCUGUGACGGGCAUUAACUUAGACCCGAUUGAGAUGACUCAUCUGUGACGGGCUAUAGUUAAUGCCCGUCACAGAUAAGGGUCAUCUGUGACGGGCUAUAGUUUAGGCCUGAUUGAGAUAGGUCAUCCGUGACAGGCUAUAGUUUGACUGAUCGUCUGGGUCAAAGCUAUCGGUGACGGGCUUUAAUUAUGGCCCGAUUGAGAUAGGGGGAAGUUCUUCCCAGGUGCACACGAGUAAGGACAAAAAAGACUGGCCUGAGAGAGGCUAGACGGCAUGCCUAAAAAUAAAAUUUAUUUUUUUUAGGAUUAUACUCAUCUGUGACGGGCAUUAACUUAGGCCCGAUUGAGACGACUCAUUUGUGACGGGCAUUAACUUAGGCCCGAUUGAGAUGACUCAUUUGUGACGGGCUAUAGUUAAUGCCCGUCACAGAUAAGGGUCAUCUGUGAUGGGCUAUAGUUUAGACCCGAUUGAGAUAGGUCAUCCGUGACGGGCUAUAGUUUGACUGAUCGUCUGGGUCAAAACUAUCGGUGACGGGCUUUAAUUAUGGCCCAAUUGAGAUAGGUUCAUCUGUGACGGCCGUUUACCCUAUUGAGAUAACUUUUCACAUCAGUGACUUCUAGCCUGUAACGGACGCCAUGCCCGAUUGAGAUGGGGGUUGCCGCCCGAUUGAGAUGAUGGUAUCUGUUCUAGUGAGCGCAACCACCAGGUUCACGGCCAUCUACGUCUCCAUCUUCUUCAUGUUCUCCACCGCCAUCGUCGGCAUGUCGGCGAUGACGUUGUCGAAGAGGGCCGUGAACGUCGCCGCCACAGCCAACCGGUGGUUCUUCCUAGUCGCCGCGAUCAGGAUAACCAGCGCCCUCUCGCUCUGCUUGCUUGCCUGCGCGGUGCUCGCGGCGUCCUACGUCGUCCUCGGGUACUUCCUCAUGCUCGCCGCCUUCGUGCUGCUAGCCAUUACAUCCCUCGUCUUCCUCCUCCUCCGUCACUGUGUUCCCAGCGGCCGGUCCGACCUGCUGGAUGGUCAACCGGAGCCAGAGGAGGCGCGGCUGAAGGCGAUGGAGGACAGGCGACAGUGAACCGACGGUCCUUCUCUCUGUCUGUGAAAACUGUUUUGGGCCGCCUGAAAAAACGAUUUUUCUAAUAGUGAUGUCUUCACCCUUGACCUGGGUUUCAAAAGUGUUGAGUUUGUACUAUGAACGAAAUACAACAUUUUAGGAACAGGAUACUUUAACUUAACUACUACGCAGUUGAGAUAUUUACAUGUGAAUUAUAGUAAAGUGAGAUCAAUUUAUAAGUGACAUAACUGCAUGUACAGUUAUUUCAGGAGAUCUGUUUCUAAAGAUUUGAGGUCUAGCACCGAGUUUUCUUGUGGCACGGGCAGCGUGUGUCCGACCGGUGAUUGGCCUCAGCCAUUCGCAACUCACAAGGCGCGUGGGGACCUGUAACACCUGAAAAUUUUGAAUUUGAAAUAUGAAAAAAAUUCGGAAUAGUCAAAAAUCUUUUUCCAAAUUUCUUUAUUGUAUCUUACUUUCUUUUUUCUGUUGUGCUUGACCACAAGGACGGAAAUUAAAAUCUAAUUUGGAUUAAAAUAUUAUUUACUAAAGGAACCAUGAUUAUAAAAUAAUAAAAUAUUUGUAAAUAUAAAUUAUCUUCCUAAAAACUCUUUUUCUAUAAUUUAGAACCCCUUUUGGGUAUUUGUUUUACGAAUGUCUACAAUUACUGAAUCUUUAAAGAAAACCCCCUUCAGGGAUAAUUCCUGGAGGAAGUUAUUUUAUAAACAAAAUCUAAUAUUAAUUAAUAUAUGAAAAUCCUUUUUAAGAAAUAAUCUUUUGUAUUUGUUCUACAAAUAAAGGCUAGUGGGAAUUUGCCAUCUAAACCCUAUUACAAACUAAAAUCGUAAAAAGAGUUUAUUUUAAAAGAAUUCACGGAAAAGUCUGGUUUUCGUCCUUGAAGGGCCUAGCCCAGCCCGCACAAUAGAACAUGUGUUUCUUUGAGUACAUUUAGGUUUUUUUUUUUACCAAAGAUCUUGACUAAAUCCAUCCGGGUGAAUCCCAAAUCUUGCCAAAUGUUAAAUCCCUCAGGAUUCGAAUUCUGUAAUUCGAUCCUCCUUCUAAAUUGAACCCCUCCUGAACAAAUUAUUCCGUUAUAUGGAAAUACUCAAUAUUGUCAAUAAUAGGUUACAAAUUGAGGGCCAUGACUUGGUGUGCUUGCAUGGACUUGGCUAUAAUAAAUUUUGGCUCCCUUUUACUUAGAAGUUACCGCACUUUCUCAUUGUUUUACAUGCCAGGCCAUACAUCCCUUUCAUUGAAGAGAACAAAAAUGCAUUUUAGUCCAUUAUAUAUCUUUGUGUUCUACAAACAAAACAAAAAUUAUUAAUCAUUCAAGGCCGCGUUUGUCUAUCCUUAGGCCGUGUCUGUAAUGGCUUCAGCUCUAGGAUUCUUGCUGAAAAUAUAAAUUGAAUAUGGUCUGUAUUUCUUUGAUGACAUGGCAGGCAUAUUACCGUAUUGAGAAAGAUUAGUUAUUUCACUACAUACUUUAGAUGUAUAUUAGCCAAAGGAGGUUACACCAGUGUAAUUAUCACGGCUGGGAUUAGUUUUUUCACUACUUUCAAGAAAGAAUAGUUUUUUUAUUAAAAUAAAAUGUUUCAGUGUGAGGAGCAUGCACUACUACAGAAUACGUUUUUACAUACGGCCGGCAACGAUUUUCGCAUGCGGCAAAGAUCGCCAUCUUUGCAUGCGGCCAGGGCACCCGCAUGCGAAAAAUAAGAAAAAACGAAACCCUAGCCGCCACCCGAGCUCGCUGGCUGCUCCUGCCGCCACCUGUUCCCGCUCCCACCGCCGCCCGUCCCCACUCCCGGCUCCACCGCUCGCCCCCACUCCCGCCGCCGCCGCCCACCCCCGUUCCCGCCCCCGCCGCCCGUCCCCGCUCUCGCUGCCGCCGCCCACCCCGCUCCCGCCGCUGCUCGCCUCGCUGCCGCCGCCGCCCUCUGCCGCUUCCACUGCCAGCCGCUCCCGCCUCCCGAGGUCGCCGCGGCACUCUUCGCCCAAGGUCGCCGUCGGAUCCGGGCAGGACGAGGCCCGCUGCCUCCGGAUCCGGGCGAGACGAGGACCGGCGCGGCCGGAUCUGGCCCAUCGCCUCCUCGUCGUCGUUGGCGGCGGCGGUGAGGAGGAGAUGGCGGUGGCGUCGCCGCCCGAGGUCGCUGCCUCAAGUCGCCCGAGGUCGCCUGCCGCCGGAUCUGGCCCGUCACCUCCUCCUCGUCGGCGGCGGCGGCGGUGAGGAGGAGAUGGCGGUGGCGCCGCCGCCCGAGGUCGCCACCGCCGCUAGCUCCGGGCCAAGCCGCCCUAGCCACCGCCGUGCUCGAGGAGGAGUGGAGAGGAGAGAAAGAGAGUUGGAAAGAAAGAGAGAGUGAGGGGAAAGGAUAGAAAGAGAGAGAGAGAGAGUGUGUGGUGGUAAAAGUAUCUAGACAGGGGAGUGAGAAGGGGUGAUGAAAAAAUUUGAAGGGAUGAGGAGGGAAAAACAAUUAAUUUUAAAAUAUCAAAACUUCGAAUCAAAAUUUAUCAUAUUAAAUGAACUCAUAUGAAAAAGUUAUCAAAAACAAAGUUGUACAACUCGUGGAGAUCUACCAAUUUUCUUUUGGUCAUUUUUCCAUCCGAGGUUGAUUGAGCUAUAUAAAAUUUAAAUUUUAAAAUAUAAGAAAGUCAAAUAAUAUUUUAAAGCAAUAAAUGAUUUCAAAUGGAAAAGUUUUAAACAACAAAGUUGUAUAACUUACCAAGAUCUACAACUUUUGUUUUGGUCAUUUUUCUAUAUGACUUUGUUUGAACAGUUUGAAUUUGAAUUUCAAAUUAUGACAACUUCAAACAACAUUUUCAAAUACUAAAUGAUUUCAUCUGAAAAAGUCAUCAAUAACAAAGUUGUAGAACUCAUCAAGAUCUAUAACUUUUAUUUUGGUCAUUUCUUCAUCCGAUAAAGUGAUUUAUAAAAUUGUUCACAAAAAUGCACAUAUCUCUUAUAAAGUUUAUAAAACUACAAGAGAGAUGUACAUUUUAUUAACAAUCUUAUAAAUAACCUUGUCGGAUGAAGAAAUGACUAAAAUAGAAGUUAUAGAUCUUGAUGAGUUAUACAACUUUGUUGGUGAUGACUUUUUCAGUUGAAAUCAAUUACUGGUUCAAAAUAUUAUUUAAAGUUUUGAAAUUUAAAAUUUUAAUUGAUAAAACAAAGUCACAAGAAAAAAUAACCAAAAUAAUAGCAGCAAGAACACAAUAACAUGAUAGAGCAUGAUUUUAGAAAUAUUUAGAAAAAAGAAUCAUCUAAUUUGGAGUUCAUAGUUUUAAAUUUUUGAAAUUUUAUUUUUGCAUACGGCUUCUUAAGUGGCCAGUAUAAAAAAAAAUAAUUUUUCCAUACGGGCGCUUAAGUGUCAUUUUUACAUGCGGUCCUCUUAAAAGACCCGUAUGGGAAAAUCGAUUUUUCCGUACGGGCCACUUAAGGGGACGCAUGCAAAGACGCCGCUAGUUAUGCUCCGUUUGCAAAAAUCAAGGGGUCUCACAAGUAGUGAUGACAUUAGCCACGACGUCUCUCCUGCACAAAUCCUGUGAAGUCCCACUGAUGAAGCAAGAGAUGAGCUCCCCAGACAGGAUUUGUCCACAAUCAUUUGGUUAUCAGCAAUGCCCUCGAUAGAGAAGUACUAAGGUCGAUCAUAGAAUUGCCAUAGCAAUGUGCCAUUUCCAGGUGCGCAGUAAGUUCAGACUGUAGAAUGAAUGUGCUGUGCUGUACAUACUACGGUGUAUAAUCAAUCCACCUGCUAAUCCAGGCAAUAUGCAGUCCAUUUCAUCCAUACAAUGAAAUGAAAAGGGGCAUGCAUGGAACAUAGCAUUUCAGUGUUCAGUGACAUCAACAGAUCAACUAACAACAAUUACAGCUAGAGAUGUGCGCUGGAUACACAACUAUCCCUAUUCCAGUGGUCGAGAAGCUAGGCUGGACAGAGUCGUAGUGAAAAGGAAGUGAACAACAGCACUCGUGUAAUCCUGUGGGUGCUCCUGGGACAGUAGAGGCGACGACUAUCACGCAUAGCUGCGUGCAGUGCACCCCAAUCAGGAUUCAGGGCAAGCGUUGCUCCUCCUUCAAGACAGGUUUCAUUUCCCUGGGAAGCUGGCCAAUCUGUCUCUUCAGCUCUCGCUUGAAUGCUUCUCUAUAGGAUCCACCGAACCAGACUUCCUUGAGACCGGUUAGUGCUUCUAAUCCAGAGAGCCUCAACGAUGAGACAUUACAGCAACGGAGCUUCAGACACUCAAGACUAGGCAUUACUCCAGAGUGAAACGUUACGGCCUGUAAACUGGGGCUGCAGGAAAUCUUGAGUAUCACGAGACUGUCGAAGCCUGAGUGGAACUGGAGCCCAUCACCUGACGGCAACAUGGCCAUCUGUAGAUUCAAUUUACUGAGCUUCCGCAGCAGCGUGAUCCACUCUGGCAGCUUGUCGUCUGCAUACCCGUACAGCUUAAGGCUCUUUAGGUUCUCUGGAGGCUUGGAGAUAGCAUCCAAACAGCCUCGAUUGUUCUCCUUAUUGAGAUGCACCGACAAGGAUUCCAAGUGGGCGUGACCAGAGAUGGCAGAACAAAACUCCCGACAGUUUCUCCGGCUGAUGCCAGAUACUCCAAGCUUGCGCAAUUGGGUAAGGUUCUUGAGCUCUUCCAGAAUAGCUCGGCCCUUCUUUGCAACACUGACGUCGAUGACACCCAGAGUGUGUAAGGUCGUCAUUUUUCGAAUCCCUCUGGGCACCACAAUUCCACCAUUGCAGGUGCCAGCAACAGCAGGCUGCUGGCCGCGGUGCCGGCUUGUCCACGUCUCCCGCAACUCGAAUAAACGGGACACCGCAGUUGCAUCACUACAACAAAAAUGCUUUGUAGAGACAUUUUUCUAGUACUAUAGAGACACUUUUCAAAUGCCUUUACAAUACUAUAGAGGCAUUUUUAAAAAUGUCUAAUAAGUGUCUUAUGGUGAAUUGUCUCUAUAAACGAAGAGGCAUUUUAUAAAAUGUCUAUAAGGUGGUAGAGGCAUUUUCUAGAGACAUUAAAUUGUACCACAACCAUAUGAAACCAAUGUAAAAAUGAGAAUAAAAUAUUUUCCCUUGUUUUUGCCAAUCCUUGAACUCGUGAUUUCUUGAUCAAAUCAUUCUUAUCUUCAAGGCACUAACCAACUCAACCUCAUGUCAUUCGUUGUAUAUGUUUAUGCCUUAAGCUACUUAUAUUUAGCCAUUUAGUAUAUUUUUUUUUGUAAGAAGUGUCUCUACAGAGUUUAAAGUGUCUCAAGCAAAUGUCUUUACAUGUUAGACACAUUUUAAAGUGCCGAAAGAAUGCCUCUACAAGAUAAAAUAUAAUAAAAUGCGCUGAAAAUAUUUCUAAAGUGUCUCUAGAGUAAAAAUUUUCUAGACAAUUUUGAAAGUGCCUCUAUAAAGUGUCUCUACGCUAUAAAACUCCUGAUCUUAGAGGCAAUUUGCAAAAUGCCUCUACAAAAGCGCAGCAUGUGGCCUGCUCAUUGACGUCGACGGUUCUGAUAAUGAUGGGGAAGCUGUUGCUGAUGCUGCUUCUGGUGGCGGUGGUCGUAAUCGUAGGAUUCCAUCAGUACUGGUAUCAUCAUCCAGUGGUACAGGUACAGGGUUACCUGCACGAACAUACUGCAGCUUCUUUAGCUUGGUGAUGCUUGUUGGAAGAUUGAUAAUGGAGGUGCAUCUGAUAUCAAGAGUCUGGAGGUGCCUCAGCCCACCGAAGGAAUCCGGCAGAUAAGUGAUUUUGUGUCCUCUUAGGGAUAGGAACUUGAGGCGAUGUAGCACCUUCCCAAUAUUCUCGACAUCAACAUCAGUUACAUCGCAUGCAUCCUCCAGGUCGAGCACACGAAGCACUCCCAUCUUGUUGGAGAUGAAGAAUGACUCCCAUGGACCAAACACCGUUAAAGACCGUAGCCUCAACAAGUCCAGGCUGUCGAACAGAGUCUUGUUCCUGUCCCAGCUGUUCCAAAUGGCUAGGUGUUGUCCCAGUGGCGAAGCUAGAGCAAAUGGGUGGGGGGUGCCUAACUUUAUCAAGACUAUAAUGUCUUUUGUGAUGUUCAAGCAAAUAGUAUAGCUAACACAUAAUCGGCGAGAUGAUCCUUGAGGACAGAGGACGAACACUCACUCUAGUUGGUCGAGCAGCAGGCAGCGGCUCUUUGAGUCUUUGACGCUGACGAGGACGAGAUCGGCGAGAUGAUCAGAUGAACGUCGAUCGUCGAAGUCGAACGCCGGCGAGGCAGGCAGGCAGCCACGAUCGUCGCACGCGCAGCUGAUGCGUCUUAGUGGGCAGCGGCUUCGUCUUCGUGCAGUCCUGUCUUCGUGGGCAGCGGCUCGCUCCGGGCGUCGGCGUCGCGACUCGGGAGUCGGGAGGAAGGGCAGGCAGUCGAUGCGUCGCUGCGUCGGUGUAUACGGCACGUCUCGCGAAGUCGUCGUGAGGAGAAAAAGAGUUGGGCAGCUGAUGCGUCGUGGGCUGAAUAAGUGGCAUCGUGGGAUUCAAGGUCUGGUGGGGGUGCCUCCUAUUGGGCUGUAGGGGUGCCUAAAGGGCCAAAAUUUGUUCAUCUCUAAGAAAUUUUAGGAAUCCGGGGGGUGCCUGGGCACCCAGGCCGCCCAAAGUGGCUUCGCCCCUGUGUUGUCCUAUGUCGCCUUUUGUGGUUAGUCUCCAGCAAUAGCCCUCCAGUACAGAGACUUCUAGUGGCAACAAAAUUCUUUCUUCCACUGGCCGCGAGAUCAUGUACUCGUGGAAGAAGCCAUUGAACUCGUAACAGCCAUCCAUAGUUGCCUGCCUGAUCACACUCUGGGAGGAAAGCUUGUGGAAGAGCUCCCCCAUUUCCUCCAAGCUAUUGCUUUCAGAGCCACUGGCAUAGCCCUCCGCGAUCCAUCGCCUCACCAAACGCCUUCGCCGAAAGGUUUUGCCUUGAGGAAAAAUUAAGAGAUAUAACAUGGAUCUCAUGAGUGAUGGAGGACAAGAGCAAAAGUAGGAAUGCAUCCAGGCGAAUAGGCCCCGUAAACAGUAAAAUUCUUGGCUGGUCUGUAACUCUUGCAUAAAGUUGGCUAUAAGAUACUGACACUGCCAUUCCCUUUCCCUUUUGUCUUCUAUAUUAGACAUAUAUUGGUUGGCCCAGUAUCUGGCUAAAGCAACUAUUACUUGGGGAAGUCCUCCACUCCUGGAUAAGAUAGCUUUUACAUUUGGGUCGUCCCGAGACAUGCUGUGUUUGAUAUUUUGAAGCGUCUUUUCUUCAGACAAGUUAUUAUUAUUCUGAGAUUCCAGUUCUUCCAAUAGGUCUUUUUUAUUCAGAAGUACCAAUUCUUCAAACGGGUUUUCACUAUUCUGAAAUGAUUUUUCUUCAUACAAGUUUUCACAGUUCAGGGAUACAUGUUUUUGAAACCAGCUACUCAUAUUUGGAAAUACAUAUUCUUCAAACGGGCUUCCAUUAUUCUCAAACUCAUGUUCUUCCUGUUUGUUCGUUUCAGAAAACCACUGAAAUGUUUGUUCAAAUGAAUUUCCAUUAUUCUGAAAUGCCUGUUCUAUGAAUGACUUUUCAGUAUUCUGAGAUGCCUGUCCUUGAAAGUAAUCUUUGUUAUUCUGAAAUAUCUGUACUUCGCAUGAGUUUCCAUUAUUCUCACAUAUCUGUUCUUCGAUUGAGUUUCCAUUAUUUUGAACCGACUGUUCUUUGAACGAGUUUCCAUCAUUCUGAAAUGCCUGUCCUUGAAAGUAAUUUCUGUUACUCUGAAAUGUCUUUUCUUCACAUGAGUUUCCAUAACCUGACUGUUCUUUGAUCGAAUUUCCAUCAUUCUGAGAUGCCUCUCCUUGAAAGUAAUUUCUGUUAUUCUGAAAUAUCUGUUCUUCACAUGAAUUUCCAUUAUUCUCACAAAUCUGUACUUCCAUUGAGUUUCCAUUAUUUUGAACUGACUGUUCUUUGAACAAGUUUCCAUCAUUCUGAAAUGCCUGUUCUUCCUGCUCAUCCCCUUCAAAAAUAUAUCUAAAUGUUUCUUCAUACGAGUCUCCGUUCCUCUGAAAUUCUUGUACUUCAAACAUGUUUCUAUUAUUUGUAAAAGCUUCUUGAAAUGCCUGUUCAAACAAUCCAAAAAUCAUAUUACUAAUCAACUACUUAAUUUGUAAUAAUGGUCAAUGAUAUACAAGUUUUAUUGCAUUUACUAUGACAUCAUCUGAUUUAGCACUGAUAUAAUUUGUUGGUUAUCAUCGUUCGCACUUUGGAAUAAUUCUCUUUUGAAUACAAGCAGCCCGUAGUGUUGGACCCCAGACUAUGUACUACUUCCUCUGUCUCAAAGUACAGCUAUUUCUAUAAAUCAAAUUUGUUCUACAAUAUAUAGCUAUUUCUAGCUCUUUUGGUGCUAUCUAUGCUGUUAUACCUCACAACCACCAACAAUCCUACUCCCUCCAAGUUUUCCAUGCAUUAGUGAAGGAUAUUGCGGCCCUUUUAUCUCAUUCCUUAAUUCCUCUAAAAUAAGCUAGAAAUAGCUAGGAGUACUAUAUUUUAGGAUGAAUGGAGUGAAACAUAGCCUUGGCGUGUGGUUCUUUAUUGGCCACGGCCACGAAUUUCAGUAGGAGCAGAGGUCAACAUGUCUGUGGGACGCAGAUGGCAAGAACCUCAAGGAUAAGACAGAUAAACAUUCAAUUAACUUUGAAACUUUUAACUAUAUAUUAGGACUUUCAAAACAUUGAAGAGGGAUUUUAAGAAACUUCAAAAUGAAUUAAUUGCUUGUAUUUUGAAAUGCUAUUAAUCUAUGGUGGGUGAACAAGAAUUAUUUUUGGGGUUAAGUAUUCAACUAUUUUUCGGGCUAUCAUUAUAUGCUUUUGUAACCCUGAAGUUUGGGGGUAUAUAAGAUUGGAUGUCAAAGCCAAACAUAUAGGGCUAUAAAGUCCAAUAUGUACUUUCUGAACACCCUAUACAUUUACAACCCACUAGCAAUUGUUGCAUCUAAAGCUUAACACGUAAGCAUGUCACAUCAUUAUAAUUUAUUACUUCUUAUGUUUGAAAAUAUAAAACAUGUUUUAUUUUGUAAGGACAAAAAUUUGAAUAACAAUUGCUUUACUAAUAUAUUAUUUACAUAACUUAAAUAUUAUAAUAAUAUGAAAGUACUUUUAAACAUGAAUGAAAUGCUAUCAAUUUCGUUUCAAAAAAGUUACAUUCUAAUAGAGAAAUUGUGAAAAUAUGCCUAAUAUUUUAAAACAGAGGGAAUACAUUGUAGAGUUUAAGAUAUAAGCAUGCAAUUCAUCAUUUUCAUAUUUCAACUUAUAUAUAUAUAUAUAUAUAUAUAUAUAUAUAUAUAUAUAUAUAUAUAUAUAUAUAUAUAUAUAUCAUUCACUACUACAAAAGUGAUUUUUCUGUACGAGACCCCAUGAUUUUCGCAAACGGACCAUAACUAGUGAUGCCUGCAAAAAUCGCGCGGCAUUUUCGCAAACGGCUCCUUAAGAAGCCCGUAUGGAAAAAUCGAUUUUCCCAUACGGGUCUCUUAAGAGGUCCGCAUGCAAAAAUGAUGUCAUUUUUGCAUGUGGCUCGGAAAAAUCGAUUUUUCCAUGCGGCUCACUUAAGCGCCCGCAUGCGAAAAUAAAAUUUGAAAAAUUUGAAAAUUUGAAACUAGUGUAUCUCACUCAUACAAACUCCAAAUUGGAUGAUUCUUUUUCCUAAAUGUUUCUAAAAUCAUGCUCUAUCAUGUUAUUGUGUUCUUACUGUUAUUAUUUAGGCCAUUUUUUCUUGUGACUUUGUUUUAUCAAUUUAAAAUUUAAAUUUCAAAUCUUCAAAUAAAAUUAUGAAGCAAUAAACGAUUUCAGCUGAAAAAGUCAACAACAACAAAGUUGUAUAACUCAUCAAGAUCUAUAAUUUCUAUUUUGGUCAUUUCUUCAUUUGACAAAGUGAUACUAACAUUUUCACAAAAUUUACAUCUCUCUCUUAUAGUUUAUAAAACUAUAUAAUAGAUAUGUACAUUCUUUGAAUAAUCUUACAAAUCACUUUGUCGGAUGAAUAAAUGACUAAAAUAAAAGUUAUAGAUAUUAAUGAGUUACACCAAUUUGUUAUUGACAACUUUUUCAGCUGAAAUCAUUUAGUAUCUGAAAAUGAAAAUGUUGUUUGAAGUUGUUAUAAUUUGAAAUUCAAAUUCAGACUGUUCAAACAAAGUCAUAUAGAAAAAUGACCAAUACAAAAGUUGUAGAUCUUGAUAAGUUAUACAACUUUGUUUUUGAUAAAUUUUCCAUUUGAAAUCAUUUACUACCUAAAAAACUAUUUGAAUUUCUUAUAUUUUAAAAUUUAAAUUUUAUAUAGUUCAAUCAAACUUGGAUGGAGAAAUGACCAAAAGAAAAUUGUUAGAUCUCAAUGACUUCUACAACUUUAUUUUUGGCAACUUUUUCAUAUGAGUUUAUAUAAGACCAUAAAAUUUGAUUUGAAGUUCUCACAUUUUUAAUUAAUUUUUUAAUGAUUAUUUUUACAUGCGGACCACUUAAGGAGCCGCAUGCAAAAAUAGAUUUUUGCAUGCGGCUCCUUAAGUGGUCUACAUGCAAAAAUAUCAACAGUUUUUUCAGUUUUUUCCCUCCUCACCACUUCAAAAAUUUUCAUCUCCCCUCCUCUCCUCUCUCUCUCCUCUCUCUGAUAUCUUCACCCCUCUCUUUUUCUUUCUCUUCCUCUCUCACUCUCUUUCUCUUCCUCUCUCUCUUUCUCUCCUUUGCGCGUGGCCAACGAGGGGGCGCCGAGCAGCGGGCGGUAGGCGGCGUCGAGCAGCGGGCGGCGGGCGGCGGCGGCUCGGCUUCCUCGGCUCGGCGGCCGACAACGACGACGGCCGCGGUGGGAGCGGCGACGGCGGGCGGCGGGAGCGGCUACGGCGGCGGCGGCGGCUCGGCGGCCGACAACGACGACGGCCGCGGCGGGGGCGACGGAUCCGAUGCCGCCGCCGACGGAUCCGGCACCGGUGACGACGAUGGGUGGCGGGGGCGAUGGAUCCGCCGCCGGCGACGACGCUGGGCGGCGGGGGCGACGGAUCCGC